AAUUUCAUGUAAUGAAGAAGGACCACCAUCCAAACCUGGCCCUGUUCCCGUUGAACUUGAAGCAACAUCCCAAGGCUCAAUUGGGUCAGUCCUAACAUAUUCAACCUCUUCAUAGUUUUGUCCACCAUUAGAAGUUUUUUCUGACAUUUGAAUCCCCUCCAGCUCUGCCGUGACCUCUCUCAUUGUAGGGCGCUUUCUUCCACUCAAAUUCAAACAUCUUCUUGCAAGGUUAGCAACUAAUAUGAUAUCUGCUUUAGACCCUCCUUUUACAACUUCAGCAUCAAGAAUUUCGAACAGGCGAUCUAACUGCAUCGAAGUAAUGAAGUAUGUGGCAAGACUUUUGCCUUCUUCUUGUGACCUUCUAAAAGAAAUUGGUUUUUGCCCUGUCAAGAGCUCAACAAGGACAACUCCAAAGCUAUACACGUCACUUUUCUCCGUAAAUUGGCUUGAUUGAAAGUAUUCGGGGUCCAAGUAACCAAAUGUGCCGUGUACAAGUGUGGUGAGGUGAGUUUGGUCAAUGGCAACUGAUCUUGAAGUUCCGAAGUCAGCAAUUUUUGCUCUGUAUUUUGCAUCCAAGAGUAUGUUGGUAGACUUGAUGUCUCUGUGAUAAAUGGGAAAGGCAGCUGAAACAUGUAAGUAGGAAAGAGCUCCUGCAACUUCCAUGGCAAUUCGUAAGCGAACUUCCCAUGUAAGUGGAAACUCCUCAUUCUGCUCAUGGAUAUACUGGGAAAGGUUUCCGUUAGGUAUAAAUUCAUAAACUAAAAUGGGAACCUCCGUCUCCAAACAACAACCCAAUAGUUGAACGACAUUUCUGUGGUUGAUUUGUGAAAGAAUGACAACCUCAUUGAUGAAAUCUGAAAGUUGGCUUUCAUCCACUAUUUUAGAUUUUUUCACAGCAACAAUUCUUCCAUCAGUCAGCAUGCCUUUGUAAACGGUACCUUGGCCUCCCUGGCCAAGAAUUCUAUCAGUAUUGAAAUUGUCAGUGGACUUCUCCAACUCCUUCGAUUUGAAUAGCUUGAUUUUCUCAACAUUAACUUCACCAGACGACAAUUGUUUCUCUAAUAAUAAUCCACCAUUUCGCUUGAAGAACAUCUCCCUGCGUUUCAUGGUAUGGCGUUUCUUUAGGAAUCUGUAUCCCCACCAUGCACCGAUAAGCAAAAGUAACAGUCCAAGACCCGCACCAAGACCUGCAAUAUAUAACUCAGUAAAAUGAUAAAUGAUCACAAAUCGCAAACCAAGUUUAUGUCUUGUGCCCAUAAAAUAAAAUAAAAUAAACUGUUGAUGGCAAUAUACAAAAGAGUUUUAUGUCUAAAAUUCCUCUUGACACUUAGGCCUUGGUCUUUAUUUUCUUAGUCAAGAACUUUGGGCUCUGUGAUAUUUGUAAAGUUAUAAAAUUUAUUUGGGUUCUAGGAUUGUCCUUUUUGGAUAUCCGAUUUACUCCAUAAAAGAAAAAACUGCAGAGACCUCUAAUAUAGUGAACAGUGAAGAAUGACCAAUCUAGCUCUCCCCGUAACUUUAUUUAUGAAAUAUCCUUCUUCUUUUUUUAUAGAAAAAGCAGCAGUAUUUUAUUAGGAUGAUAUAUUGCGUACCUAUAAUAACGAUCAAUUUAGUUUUCUUUUUGUCAUGGCAAAGAAAGGAACCAGGAAUGUUCACACAGUGGCUGUGCGGCCCGCACCGAUCAUGACCAAUUAUGCAUUCAUCAAUAUCUGAAACAUAAUUUAGAAAGAAAAAAAAAACAGAAAAGGUAAAUUAGCAAUACAAUAAGAAUACUAUUUGCACAAUAUCUUAUCACUAUGCAGAUCACCCUCUCUAAUACGGUUUGGACCCCAUAAAUGUAUGAGAGACUCAUUAAUAUUAAAGAAAUAGUAAGAAUACAAAUAACAUUUGUGGUACAAAUAACAACAAUCUUAACAAUAAGUAUUAUUAGGUGACCAAAAGUAUGUAGAAGGAAGGGUCUUAUUUUGACUUGCAUGACUUUUAUGUCUUGAAAAAAGUUCUUUGGCUGAAUAAAAAGGGAGUUCUUUCCCUUCCUUUCCAAUAUUGCUUGCAUAAAUCAAACGCAAAGAAAAAUAAAAUGCAGAAACGGAAGCUAGAUAUAAUUAAUUACAUACGUACCUUGACAAGUUUGAAGAAGAUAGGGAUUUCCUACAAAGCCUUCUCGGCAGAAACAAUAAAGCGCUGAGCGAUUGUUGGAAUCAAAAGUGUAGAUAUUGCAGAAGGGUACAUCGCUAUAACUAUAAUAAUUAUAAAAAUAAGAAUCCAAAUUCUCUGUAACGUGGCUUCCAAAUAAUGCGAAUGAAGAAGUAGAGUUGAUUAUAUUCCAUUCUAGCACCACAGGAACGUGACUUCUUCUCUUGACUGCAUGAGCAGAAGAUCUAUCAAACCAAUCCUUGUCAACCAGAAACGCAUAGUUGUCGCAAUCCGCGUUUCGAUUUUCGCCUUUGUAUAGAAUGGAAAGGCUCAUCAUAGUGAGAUAUGGAGGAAUGGUAGUCUGACAACAGUUGAUACCAAUAUCACAGUAAGCAGAGCUUUGAUUAUAACAAACUGACCUGCAGCCACCCACCACAAAAUCAGCUGAUUCCAUCGUGGCAAGGAAGCCGCAACUAACCGCAGUGAAUCUGUUUUUGUCCUGAGAGUAGACGAAAGGGCUGUCCGUCAAAUUAGCCAUUUUGCUACUUCCAUUUCCGUUGCAAAAAAAGGUAACGGGGCUGUUCACUUCAAGCGUGCCCAACAUAGCCUCAAGCGUGCCUCCAAUAGAAAUAUUCAGCACCUCCAGUUGGGCUCGCUUCAAAAAAGGCUUAGAAGACUGGUUGCUGCACUCGAUUUCAAACCAGUCGUCUAAGUAGCAAUCUGUGCCUCCAAUUCCAAAAGGGUAGGGGAUCAAGACGCCUCCGCAUUUCUCUUUGCAGCCCGGCUUCGCUUUCGGAUAAUAAACUUCUUGUGCUGCAGCUGCUGCACAUGUAUGUAUGAUCAACAACACGAGGAAUAUUAAUAAUAAAAUCAUCAUAUGAAGUGCUUGCGAUUGCAUUGUUCCUAUGCUCGGAUAAUAAAAAGUAAAAGAUUAUCAACCAAAAGUUUUCUUUGCCACAUAGUGCUUGUACUAUAUAUAAUAUUAAAAGACCCCUUGUCAAUCGAAGAAAAGUGGGUUCGAAUUGAAGGCUACUUUUCUUUUUGUAAUGCGAGUGGAAAUUGUAUAUGACUAGUAGUUGAGAAUAUUCUAGUGUUUCCUUCUCUUCCUAGCUAUCCACCAAAAAAAAAAAAAAGUUGACUUGACUUGAGUCAUUCACAAAAGGAAAUGAAUUAUUGUGGCCAUAACGAAAUUAAAAAUAAAGUAUUCUUAUUUUGUCUUUUUCAAGUACAUAAAAAUGCUGUGAAAUCAAGUCAAUGAUUACAUAGAGCUCGGCAAACGUAACAUUAACUAACUAAACAAUAAUAUUUUGAAAGGUCAUGCAACACAAGAGAAACAGAGUUUUAUUUGGUUUUAUUUUCACAAGCGAAGCCAGAAAAUUGGUUCCACAAGGUGAUAGUCUAAAAUCUUCUAACGUCUUGUCUAAAGAUUUUCUCGAGUGAUUUAGUCAUAAUUAAUUUUUAUAUAUCGGAUGAUUUAUGUUUAAAUGGCAAUCAUUCUGUUUCGCUAAUUAGCCACUAUGAUCUUCUUGAUUGAAACUACUGUCACAUUCUGAUCGGAAAAGUUGACUUGAGAUAUGGAACAUGCAUUACAAUAUUACAAUUAAGAAAUUUUUAAUUAUUGUUCAGCGUGACAUGAAAGGUAAUAGUGGAACUGCAUUUAAAGUUUUUUCUAACAUUUGAAACCUCUCCGGCUCUGCAGGUGAUCUCUCUCAUUCUGAAAUUGGUACUUAGGUAACAAGGGGUAAAUUUAAAAUAUAUUCAACUAAGAACACAACAAACUUCACACACUCUAGACCUUGACCAAAUACUCUUAUGACUAGUCAACUAUCAGAUAUGAAUUAUACCAAACAAUAACAUACACAGAGCAUACCAAGAUGUACCUGCAAGCCUAGAGAAUUACUAGUGACAACCUAGGCACUCAAAAGGACCGGUCAGUCUAGGCAUCCCCUGUGCUAGCAACAACUAUGGUGAAAGUGUGUGAAGACAGCAUAAUCAAGCAACCACCAAACAACAAAAAAUGAUGACUAGUUAACCGCAAAACACAAACCUAGAAAACACAUGAACAUCAUGCGAUGACUAGUCAACUAUAAAGAACACAAACCCAGAAAAUUUAUAGGGAUGGAAACUAGAAAUUGUUCACCCAGAAACCCAUCAUUGGGAAAAACUGGGGGUCAUCAAUCGACUAGGCAAUCCACUAAGCAAAAAGAUUCAUACAAAGGAACACUAGCAAGCUCAAGAAAUUCCUAGGUCUAUUUAGGAAGAUGAGCUUUACCUCCUUUGUGCAAUCUUCUUCGCUAACUUAGCAAAACUUGAAGCUCAGUUCUUCAUGGCAAUGACAACUCCUUAUCCAACUCUUUCAUCUCAUAGCACUAGCUUGCAAGCUCUAACUCAGACAGAAACCAAACAUUGGAUCUAAAGGAAGAAUGAUCAUUUUCUUCAAGAAACCAUACUCUUAAAGAAAUCAAUCUUGAAUCUGACCUAGAUAUAUAUGAGAGAGUGUUUGAUCUAGCAAAAUGAGGUUUUCAUAUUUCAAAUGCAGUUUUCAAAAGGAAACAUUUUGAAAAACUCAAAGAUGAAAAAUAUGAAGGUUACACUUGAGGAAGAAGAGAAAGUUUGUAAAGAAACUUUCCAAAACUUGCCUACAAAAGUGACGGCUGCCAAAUGAGGAAUGCAUGUGUUUUUACCCAAAAAUUCCUAGGUUAGAAUCGUACAAGGCAGUAGAGGAUUUCGCAGAAUAUGACAAAACAAUAGGUAGGAUGCAAUUGAAAACAGUGACCUGGAAAACCUUACUAACGCAAAGGUUGACUAGUCAUAUGGAAGAAGGAUGACUAGUCAUAUGGAGGAUGACUAGUCAUACGGAGAAAGGAUGACUAGUCAUAAUCUUCAGGAAUAGGUUAAUGCAAUGUAAUGCAAUGCAAAACUUACCUUUGUCAAAUACAAUGUUGUCCAUCAUAAUGUAACCAGAUAAGAACACCUAGAGAUGAAAUUCUUAAUCUAAACUUGAAUUGAAACACCUAGAGAUAAGAACACAUUGUAGUACGCUUCAUUCCACUCAAAUUCAAACACCUCCUUGCAAGGUUAGCAACUGUGAUGAUAUCUAGUUUAGACCAUGUGGGAACAUAAAGUUUGGCAUCCAAUCACAAGGUGAAAUGUGGAUAGUGGAAUAUUCCUUAUUUCAAAUAAUUUAGCUAAUUAAAUCUGAUUUAAUUAGCCAAUUAUCCUGAUUUAAUUAGCCAAUUUUUCUUGAUUUACGAUAGGAAUAUCUCCUCCAAAUCAAGGAUCCGAUUUCCAACAAAUCUCCUUUAUAUUAUCUUAUUAUUUAAGGAAAAGAAUAAUUCUCUUCCAUAUAUUGAUAGAGGGAGCUUCGGUUGAGGGUUCUCUCAAUUAGGCUAAUUUGAGGGACACUCUUAUAGGAUCCGCUCCGUAUUUUAUUUCAUUAAUCCAAACCAUCUAUUUUGUAGAUAUUCAUUCAAAUAUCAUCUCUAUAAAAAAAUCAUUUGAAUUCGAUAUCAUUUGACCACUUAAUUGAAUUAUUGAAAUUUUAGUACUUUCUUGAAGCACCGUAUUCAUUGAUUUUGUAUGAUACAAUUGGAUGUCGAAACGGUUUCCGAAUUGUCUAAUUUUUUGCAAAGAUGAUUUAUGAAUGUAGACUUAAAAAUAGAUAGUUUGGAACGUUGAAACAAAAAUUGUAGUGGAUCCCUCAAUAAAAAGGAACAUAUAUAUAUAUAUAUAUGUCAAAGCAUAAUUUACCACAUAUGUCAAACUGUAAUUUGCAGAGGAGUAUGUCCUUUUUGGAAAAUAGGCAAACAAUAUCCAUAUGUGAUUGAAUUCGUGUGAAAAGUCUCCCUACUCGACUAAGUUUUCUUUGCAACUUACUUAGUGCGUGUACUGUAUAAUGAAGACCCCCUUUGUCCAUCGAAGAAAAGGAACAAACACUAGUGGUGGGUUGGAAUGGAAAUUGUAUAUGACUGGUAGUUGAAAAUCCAAGUGUUUCCUUCUCAUUAUUUCUAGCUACCCCAAAUUUUUAAAAAAAAGAAAAAAAAAAAACAAAAGUUGACUAGCUACUUGAUUUGAGUGACUCAUGCAGUGCAUGCUCGGUUAAUUAUUGUGGCCAUAACAAGACGAAUCACCAUGUGUUGAGUUGACUUGAGAGGUCAUUGUCCAAAAAUAAAUUGAAAUUGAAAAGUAUUAUUUAAUUAUUAAUUUUUCUUCUGUCUUUUUUGUUUGUUUGUUUUUUUUUUUGGGUUUCAAGUACACACAACUCCUUUAGACGUAUCAAGAGAGGAAAACUCUCUUAACUAAGCAAUCCAAAAUAUCAGAAAAAUAUCUCUGAGAACCAAGUCUGAGUUUUAGACCUCUGAGUUCAGACAAAAAAAAAAGGACCUCUGAUCUUGCAUAAAAUCCAACACAAGAAACAGAGCUAGAAAAUUUCCUUACAGAUAAGGUGAUAGUCUAAAAGAUGAUUCCAAGUCCAAAAACCGAGAAUAUAUAAUUACAACAAAUAUAUUGUUCACUGUGUAUUGAAAAACAAUAGUGGUUGUACAUCGAAUGAAGAACCUGUACCGCCAUCCGUACAAGGACCUGUUGAUGAAGAAACAACAUCCCAAACCUCAUUUAUUUCCUGAGUUUGGACACAUCGGACCUCUGGGAAAACUUGUUGAACAUCAGUCUCAGCUCUAACUGACAAUUGAAUUCCCUCCAACUCCACUGCUACUUCUUUCAUAGUAGGACGAUUCCUUCCAUUCAAAUUCAAGCAUCUAACAGCAAGGUUAGCAACUGCUGUAAUCUUUUCCUUUCUACCAUCCUUCAUAACUUGAGAAUCAAGAAUAUCAAAUAGAAGAUUAUUCUCCAUGGAAAGCAGGAAAUAAGUUGCUAGACUUCUGCUUUCUUGUGACCUCAUCAAAGAAACUGGUUUUUGUCCAGUCAAGAGCUCAGCAAGGACCACGCCAAAGCUAUAAACGUCACUCUUCUCUGUAAACUGGCUUGAUUGGAAGUACUCCGGGUCCAGAUAACCAAACGUUCCAUGUACUAGUGUAGUAAGGUGCGUUUGAUCAAUGGAAACUGAUCUUGAAGUCCCAAAGUCAGCUACUUUUGCUCUGUACUUUUCAUCCAAGAGUAUAUUAGAAGACUUGAUGUCUCGGUGGUAAAUGGGAAAGGAAGCAGCUGAGUGUAAGUAGGAAAGAGCUCCUGCGACUUCAAUGGCAAUUCGUAAGCGCAUUUCCCAUGUAAGACAAAACUCCUCAUUUGGGUGAUGAAUAUACUGAGAAAGCGUUCCAUUGAGUAUGAAUUCAUAAACCAAAAGGGGGACUUCAGUCUCUAAACAACAACCCAAUAGUUUAACAACAUUUCUGUGAAUAAUUUGUGAAAGAAUGACAAUUUCAUUAAUAAAUUGUCCGACUUCUCCUCCAUCAACUAUUUUUGACUUCUUGACAGCAACAAUUCUUCCAUCUGACAGCAUUCCCUUGUAAACAGUACCUUGACCUCCUUGACCAAGAAUUCUAUCUAUACUGAACUUGUCUGUGGCUUUGUCUAAAUCCUUUGAACUGAACAACUUAAUUUUCUCAACAUUAACUUCACCAGAAGAUAAUUGCUUCUCCAACAAUAAACCUCCAUUUUGUUUAAAAAACUUUUGCUUGCGUUUGAUAUCCUUCCUCUUCUUUAUAACUUUGUGCGACCACCAAGCUCCAAUGAGUAGAAACAAGAGUCCAAUCACACCGCCAGCAACUGAGUACUCAAUAAGAUACAAAUAUUGAUAACGUGAUCAAGAAGAUUUUUUUUUUUUUUUUUUUGUGUGACAAAUAUGUCUAUAAUUUCAAAUUUUCCACCAAAGGGCCCAAAGUUUAAUUUAUUAAAGUGCAUUGGCAUACCUAAAAUGCCCACGUUAAUCCGUAGUAUUUGUCGAUCCGGCUGGUAGCAUACAAAGUGCCCUGGAAGAUUGAUACAAGUGCCCGGACCACAUCUAUAUUGGUUGUCACAUUCGUUGAUAUCUGGAAUAUAUAAUGACAAGUGGAAAAUGGGGGAAAAAAUAGAAGAAAGAAGGGAUGGUUAAUUAUAAAUGGUAUCUACAAAAUCAAUCAAGGAAAUCCAAAUGAAUAUCCAUAGCUCAUACAGUUGUACUCAUCGUUUACCUUCGUUGGUUGAAGAAUUUAAUUAAUUACAAACAAUAAAAAUUAGGGUAACGUACAGAUCAGUACUGAAAAAAGGAAUUCUCAUAAUUUGAGCAUGACUUUUGAUUUGGACAUAUACAAUGGUAGGCUUGCGUACCUUGACAUCCAUCAAGAAGAUAGGGGUUUCCUUGAUAGCCCUUUUUGCAAGAACAUUGCCGAAAAAUGUUGCAGUUCAUGUUUUGAUGGGAAAAGUUAUAUGUUCCAUAUAUAUGCUGUUCAGAAUAUUGAUUCAACUGAUAUUCCAGCACUACAGGGACGCUGUCCAUGUCCACAAUGGUAGAGAUAUUUGUUGACAUAAACCAAUCGUGGUCUACCAUGAAGGCAUACUUGCAUUCCAUUUCACUGUCACUACCGUUAAUUAGCACUGCUGCAAAACUAGUAUUGAAGAAUGAAAGACCAUCCAAAAUGGUGGUCUGGCAGCAGCGCAAACCACUACAGCUAUUAUUUUGAAAGAUAGUACUAGUACUGUGAGUAAUAUUAUCACAAAUGGAAUAGCACCCACCAAGUGGGCUCCCCUGAUCUGUCAUCAAGGCAAUUACAUCACAACCGAUUGAAGUGAAUCUGUUGCUCUUGGAAAACACAAAAGGGCUUCCAAGCAAGUUGGGUGCCUGGCGGUCGCUCUUCUUGUUAUCGCAAUUAGAGAAGGUGAUUGCGCUUGUGACUGUAAGUGUGCCUCCAAGAGAAAUUUCCAGCACCUCUAACCCAGUCCGGUUCAAGAAAGCCUUCGGAGGGCUGGCUGAGUUGUUGCAUAUUAUUUGGAACCAGUCGUCCAGGUAACAACCUGCUCCAAUUCCGAAAGGAUAUGGGAUUUGAGUGAUGUUUCCGCAUUGCGACAAACAAUUUGGUUUUGCCAAGGAUGCUUCUGAUGCUACUGCUAGUAGUGCAUUACUCAUAGACCACAAGAACAGAGUGAUAUGAAGUAGCAACUGGCCAACCAUUAUGUUUCUUCUUCCUUCUCUUUAAUUACCAAUCUGCCUGCGUAGUAGGAAGCUUGGAAUUAGAAUUUAGCUAGCAAAGCAAAAUGCUCAUUCUUGAGCCUAAGCUUUCUCUCGGAUAAUAUUAAAAGAAAAUAAGGAAGGGGCAGAGUAGUACUGUUACAAGUCAAGUCCACUAACUACGACAAAUUAUUCAGGUUUACCAUUUCUUCUUCAGAAGAAAAAACAAACACACUGGAGCAAGAAGUUUGAGGUGAACUUUCUUUGCAAUGUGUUUGGGAGCUUUAUUACACCUAAAAUGGACCCCACAAAAUGACAAAUCAUACUUUUUAUAAAUCAUUUACUAACUCUUGUAUAUUUCUUUGCUUUGUCUAUUGACCAACUUGUAGAGUAUCUCACACGGAAGGAUCGAUGGAAAAGUUAGCUUAAAAGCUUAAGAGAUGUAGGGCCUCUUCGCACAUGACCAAUUAGUUUAGGGUUUAAUGCUCAUACUCUAUGCCCUACAUAAAGGAUUAGUAGAAUUGAAGGGAAUCUAUUGUUGUCUAGGAUUUAUGUUAUGAUAGCUGUGUGGAAAAAGUAAACCUAAGCAGCCAGACUUGACCGUAAUCAAUUCUACUAAUCCUCUAUGUAGUGCAUAGGGAUUUCUGUUAUCUUGUGUGGAUAAGAAAUGCUUUUGCAGAAUCAUUUUGCAUAUUAUCAUGCAGUUCUCUCUUUCUUCUUUGUUUCCAAGUUGUUGUUUGCCAAGAUGUCCAACUCAACAUAUGUGAUGAGAAGAAAAUGACGCAAUUGAAAAGUAAAAGAUUCUCAAACAAAAAAUUUCUUUGCAACUGUCUUCACGAUGGAAACAAAUUGAAGGAACUUUUCUUUUGGUAAAGUGUGUGGAAAUUGUAUGUGUAGAGCUGUCAUGAUUGUCUGUCUGAUAUGUCUGGUGAUAGAGAAUUCAAUUAGGAAUUGAAUUCCUGAUUUUGGAGAAAUUCAAUUCUUGAGUGGGAGGUGGUAUUUUAAUUUUUGGAGAACUAAACCAUUAGGCUUUUUUACCCAUUAUAUCCUCACGCAAUUUAAAAUUUUCCAAACUUGCCAACUACUUUAACCCAACAACGAGGACAUUUUAGUAAUUAGCACAACUCCUACCUCAAUUCCAUAUGGUUUAGUGAACAACUUUAAUAGGAAUCCGGAAUUUAAUUCUCCGCAAUCCAACUCCUCCUCAAUUCAAUUCAUUCUUAAUUCAAUUCCUCCUAAUCUAAUUACAGAUUAGUAAACAUGUCAUUAGUCUAUAUGGAGGAAGGACUUGGAACACUAGGAAACAAAAUUGAGUUUUAAAUUGUCAUCUGUAACUAGGAGCUAGGGAAAGAAAAAAAAAGCGUGUUAUAUUAAAACAAAUAUUUGUUCAGUGUCUUGGACAGCAAUUCUAGUAGGAACUUGACAAAUCUUCCUCUGCCAGGAUAAAACUUAAAAACAAAAAAACAAGAGUGAUAAUUAAGGAUCAUAGUCCGUCCUUGCUUCACUGCCAUCUCAACUGCUUUAGUUUACGAUCAUAGUCGACUUAAUGAUGGAAUUAAAAAGUAAUAGAUUAUAAAGCAAAAGUUUUCUUUGCAACUUAGUGCGUGUACUGUAUAAUGAAGACCCCCCUUGUCCAUCGACGAAAAGGAACAAACACUAGUGGUGGGUUGGAAUGGAAAUUGUAUAUGACUGGUAGUUGAAAAUCCAAGUGUUUCCUUCUCAUUAUUUCUUCUAGCUACCCACAAAUUUUUUUAAAAAAUAAGUUGACUAGCUACUUGAUUUGAGUCACCCAUGCAGUGCAUGCUCAGUUAAUUAUUGUGGCCAUAACAAGACGAAUCACCAUUUGUUGAGUUGAGAGGUCGUUGUCCAAAAAUAAAUUAAAAUUGAAAAUAUUAUUUAAUUAUUAAUUUUUCUUCUGUCGUUUUUUUUUGGGUUUCAAGUACACACAACUCCUUUAGAUGUAUCAAGAGAGGAAAACUCUCUUAAUUAAGAAAACUAAGCAAUCCAAAAUAUCAGAAAAAUUAUCUCUGAGAACCAAGUCUGAGUUUUAGACCUCUGAGUUCAGACCCAAAAAGAAAGACCUCUAGUUCAUCUUGUUUCCAUUAUUCUCUUCUCUGAUCUUGCAUAAAAUCCAACACAAGAAACAGAGCUAGAAAAUUUCCUUACAGAUAAGGUGAUAGUCUAAAAGAUGAUUCCAAGUCCAAAAACCGAGAAUAUAUAAUUACAACAAAUAUAUUGUUCACUGUGUAUUGAAAAACAAUAGUGGCUGUACAUCGAAUGAAGAACCUGUACCGCCAUCCGUACAAGGACCUGUUGAUGAAGAAACAACAUCGCAAAUUUUUUAAAAAAAUCUGGUCGGUUCGGUUCUGAUCAGUUCCGAUUUUAAAUUUUUUUAAUUUUUUUUUAAAAUAAAAAUUAUAAUAAAUAAGUUAUUUUUUUGGCUUAAAAUUAACAAAUGACCCAAUUCAUACAAUGAUAAAUUUUUUGAAGUUGAAUUUGGAAAAAUAUUAAUUAUAAAAUUUAAAAUAUAGAAUUGGAUUUUUAAAUUUUGUAAUUAAAAAAAAAAAUACAACCUGUUCGGUUUGGUGUAGUGUAAAACCGAAACUGGUUGGAACCGGUUCCGGUCUGGUUUGUUGACUUUUUUGGUCAACCAAUUUUUUUCCCCCUUUUUUUUCACCGGUCUGGUUCAGUGUUCCGGUUUUCCAAUCCGGAUGCCCACCCCUAACGAACAACUUCCCAGUGAGUCACCUAUCAUGGGAUUGCUCUAGUCCCAACUCGCUCAACUUCGGAGUUCCCAUAACUCCGAAGUCAAUGAGCUCCCAAAAGGCCUUGUGUUAUAUGGAGGCGGACAUGUACAUAUAAGGCACAUCACCCCAUCUCCGUUGGUCGAUAUGGGAUGUUACAACUGCAGCCAGGUUUUCUUUAGUCACAUUGGCCUGAUUGUACCUUUUCCAACAUAUGAUAUGAUCCUCUUUAAAAAGACCAAUUGAGCCUGAAGAUUGGGCAAAGGGAUAUAGAACACAAAAGGAGGGAUAAGAGAGAAAGAAGGGGAGGGAAGGGAGGAGAGGUUGGCUUGUGGUGAAGAGGUACAGUGUUGCAGCCGGUGCUGUGAGGUUGGUUGGGCCAUAGGUGGUUGUUGUGGUUGAGUGGCUGUUUUUUAUUAUUAAUUAUUAAUUAUUAAUUUUAUUCAGACUUUUUUUUUUUUUUUUUGCAAUAUUUCAUUUAGACUUAACAGUGUUAAGUUGGUGUUGGAUGUGUCAUAUCUUAUGUCAUUAGAUUAUUAGAACGAUCAAGAUUUAGUAAAAUACGGGUAACUGCGUAAUAUCCAAAUGCAGAGGCUCGAGAUCCAAAAAGGUAUAUUAUUUGUAAUUAAAAAAAAUAGGCACAUGGUUUAUUAAAAAAUAGGUACGUUAUUAAAAAGAUACUUACAUAUGUAGGUCCAAAAAACAGGUACGUUAUUUAUUUAAAAAAAAUAGGUAGAUUAUUUAUAUAAAAAAAUAGGUAUAGUAUAUGUUUUUGAGGAAAAUAAAAAUUAAAUUUUGUUUGCCAAUACAACAAAAAUCUGAAAUUAAUACAUAUUUUGUUGGUCAGGACUUUUGUUUGAGUUGAUUUUUGUGGAAAAAGUACGCUAUGAUGGAAUAAAAGAAUGAUAUUUUUGGUGGUGGGUACGGUUAUGUGGAAGUAAUAAUGGGUAAGAGAAGAAACUUGUUCUCUUGUGAUAAUCAAAAGCAGAAAGUAGUGGGAAAAGUAGUGGGACACUAUUUUAGAUAUGAUAAUGUUCCUUCUUUGAUUGAUGCAAAUGAAGAGAAAAGGGUGGCUUUAUAUAAUAGCCACUACCCACCUAACACAUUAAAGCCACUACCCACCUAACACAUUAAAUACACAACUAACACCAAACAUAGUUAAUUCAACUAACUUCUACCACACCAUUAAUUUAACACACAACUACCAACAAACUGCCAACUAUUUCAAAGUUACCAGCCGACUAUUAAUGAAGUCUAGAUUACUUUAACAUCCCCUCUUAAGCUAGACUUAAUUUACGCCAAUUAAUUUUCUCAUCUUGAUGAGCAGCUCCUUCUUCAACGGUUUGGUGAACAAAUCUGCCAGCUGAUCUUGGGACUUGCAAUACAGAACCUUAACUUCUUUAUCUUUGAUUAGCUCUCUGAUGAAAUGGAACUUGAUCUUGAUAUGCUUACUCUUGCUGUGAAACAUUGGAUUUUUGGAAAGACAAAUAGCUGAUUUGUUGUCGCAGAACAGCUUUGUAGGUCUUUCUUGAACUUGACCCAUCUCUUCUAAAAUACUUUUCAGCCACCUGGCUUUACAACCUUGAGAGUUCUUCUUGGUGUAAAGAGUAUGCUCAUAUGGGCAUUUGUGAAACCCAUACUCUUGGAAGAAUGCAUCAAUCCGACUGUACCAAGCUCUUGGAGCUUGUUUCAAACCAUAUAAAGCCUUCUUCAAUCUACACACUUUUGUUUCUUCAUUUCCCUGCACAUAACCUGGAGGUUGAGCAACAUACACUUCUUCUUCCAAGAACGCUGAUUUAACGUCCAUUUGAAAGACUUUCCAACAAUUUUGGGCAGCAAGAGCUAACACCAUUCGGAUGGUGUCAAAGCGUGCAACUGGAGCAAAAACUUCAUUGUAAUCAAUUCCAUAAUUUUGCUUGUAGCCUUUAGCUACCAAGCGAGCUUUGUAUUUCUCAACUUCUCCUUGAGCAUUCAGCUUGGUCUUAUACACCCAUUUUACUCCUAUAGGCUUCUUUCCUUGAGGAAGAUCAACCAGCUCUCAUGUGUCAUUUUUCUUAAUGGAAUCAAUUUCUUGAUCCAUAGCCUUCACCCAUUUUUCAUCCUUUGAAGUCUCUUCAAACAUAAUUGGGUCUGCAUCUACAAAUAGAGCAAAAUUUGUGCCACCAUUAGUGAUCAAAACAUAAUCACUAGAUGGGUACCUUGUGGAUGGUUGAUGAGCUCUUGUUGAUCUCCUUUGUCCUCUGCAAAUUUCUUCUUCCUCACUGCUAUCACUAGAAGAAGUUGAUGAUGACCCUUGUGAUGAAGAUUCCUGUGAUGAUGAAGUUGUUGGUGGAGUUAAAUCUGGAUUUUCAAGGCCAAUGUCCAACAGUAUUGGACUUUGAUUUUCAGCUUCACUCCAAUUCCAUGCUUCUUCUUCAUUGAACUUGACAUCACGACUAACAAUAAUCUUGUUAGUCAAUGGAUUAAACAACUUAUAUGCCUUGGCCUUUUCACUAUACCCAACAAGAAUGCACUUUUCUGAUUUGUCAUCCAAUUUUCUCCUUGUUUCAUCAGGAAUAUGAGAAUAAGCAAUGCUGCCAAAUAUCCUUAAGUGACUAAUACAUGGCUUGAGGCCACUCCAAGCUUCUUGAGGAGUCGUGCCUUCCACACUAUUGGACGAUGUACAGUUCAAGAGAUAUACAGCACAUGCCACUGCUUCUGCCCAAAAACGAUUAGGCAUUGCUUUUGCCUUCAACAUGCUUCUUGCCAAUUCCAUAAUGGUCCUAUUUUUUCUCUCGGCCACACCAUUUUGCUGUGGGGUGUACCGAGCUGUGAACUGAUGCUUAAUCCCAUUUUCUUUUAGAAAAUUUUCGAACACAUUGGAUGAGAAUUCUCCACCUUGAUCAGACCGCAAGGUUUUCAAUGCAAAUCCACUUUGCUUCUCAGCCAAAGCUUUGAAAACUUUAAAGUAAUCAAACACCUCUGAUUUAUAUUUGAGAAAAUAGACCCAUGUAUUUCUGCUAUAAUCAUCAAUGAAUGUAAGAAAGUAGCGGUUACCUCCUGUUGAUGUUGUGUUCAUGGGCCCGCAUACAUCUGAGUGCACCAGCUCAAGAGGAUGGGAUGCUCUCCAAGAAUUUCCUGUAAGAAACGAAUUUCUCUGAUGUUUUCCCAGCACACAUGCUUCACAAACUUGUGUUUGAUGCUGUAUCGUUGGUAGGCCUCGUACCAUAUGUUGUUUCCCCAUCAAUGAUAGUGUAUUGAAACUCAAAUGCCCAUAGCGUAGAUGCCACAACCAUGAGGAAUCCUUGAUAAGUGCACUUAAGCAAGCAAAAGAUUCAUACUUUAUGUUCAGAGAAAACAUAUUGUCUCCUGACAUCUGCACCUUUGUAAUUAGAGAGUUGUACUUGUCUCUAAUUACACACUGGUCUUCCCUGAACUGAAUAUUAUGGCCUUUACGAAGAAGUUGCCCUACACUAAGGAGAUUGUAAUUUAAAUCUGGAACAUAUAACACAUCAGAGAUUCUUUUUUGUUCUCCAGACUUGGACAGAAAAAGAAUAUCUCCACAUCCUUUGGCCACUAGCUUUCCACCAUCACCAAUCCUUACUUCUGAGUUGUUGGUAUGCUUGAAAUUGACAAAGGCACUUUUGUUGCCUGUCAUGUGAUUACUACAUCGGCUAUCAAGAUACCAUUUUUUUGCACACACGUUUCCUUCCCUGGCAGCUGCAUAUGCAAGUAGAACCACAUUAUCAUUUUCCCUUUCAGAAGCUUUUUCAUGCACAAAGCUUGAUUCGGCUCCUCCAUUUGUUUUGUUUUUGCAUGUUGACUUGAUGUGCCCAUAUUGCUUGCAAUUGUAGCACUGAAUAUUAGAAAGAGAGGAACCUUGUUCUCUUCCUCUUCCUCUUGAAUAACCACCAUAAUCUCCUUUUCCUCUUGGAAAACCAUAAUCUCCUCUUCCUCUUUGAUAACCAUAAUCCCGUCUUCCAUAAUCUCCUCUUCCUCUUGAAUAACCAUAAUCUCGUGCAGAGCCUUCAUCAUUAGUUUCUUUCUGGUCAUUUGCAUAGCCACAUCCUUGAUUAUUUCUUCCUCGUCCACGAGCAAAGCCGCCUCCUCCUCUUCUAGAACUUCCUCUGAAUGAGACUUGAGAUUGAAAAGCUUGCUCAACAGGGCCAGAGUCAAACUGCUUCAGUCGUAACUCAUGGGAUUGAAGAGAACCCAUUAAACUGUCAAGAGACAGAGUAGACAGAUCUUUGGAUUCUUCAAUUGCCACCACAAUAUAUUCAAACUUUCGAGACAUACUUCGAAGAAUUUUUUCAGCAACUCUCUGAUCUUCAAUUUUUUCUCCAUUAAUUCUCAGUUGGUUGACUAGAGAAAUGACACGAUUGAAAUAGUCUUCAACAGAUUCUGACUCCUUCAUACGUAACAUAUCAAACUCACCUCUUAGAGUUUGCAGUCUUGCCAUCUUCACUUUUUCUUCUCCUUUAUAUGAUGCAAAGAGAGUGUCCCACGCCUGUUUUGAUGUAGUGCAUGAUGAGAUUCUUUCAAAGAUAGCUUCAUCCACUGCUUGAAAGAUAAAGAAUAAAGCCUUUUUGUCCUUCUUACGUGUCUCCUUCAGCUCUGUGAGUUGUUGUUGAGUGAGGACUGCUUGAUCAUUUGGCUCCACAAAGCCAUUUUCAACCACCUCCCACAAAUCUUGAGCAGCUUACAACACCUUCAUUUAGAUGCUCCAUUGACUAUAAUUCUUCCCUGUAAACUUUGGAAGCUGGGGCUGUAACAAGUUGUUGUUUGAAGCCAUAUGAUUCUGAGUUUCCAGCUCUGAUACCACUUUGAUGGAAUAAAAGAAUGAUAUUUUUGGUGGUGGGUACGGUUAUGUAGAAGUAAUAAUGGGUAUGAGAAGAAACUUGUUCUCUUGUGAUAAUCAAAAGCAGAAAGUAAUGGGACACUAUUUUAGAUAUGAUAAUGUUCCUUCCUUGAUUGAUGCAAAUGAAGAGAAAAGGGUGGCUUUAUAUAAUAGCCACUACCCACCUAACACAUUAAAGCCACUACCCACCUAACACAUUAAAUACACAACUAACACCAAACAUAGUUAAUUCAACUAACUUCUACCACACCAUUAAUUUAACACACAACUACCAACAAACUGCCAACUAUUUCAAAGUUACCAGCCGACUAUUAAUGAAGUCUAGAUUACUUUAACACGCUAAAGCAGGCAGACUUGAACCAUUUUGACCCAUUUUGACCAAGUUGGCCGAAUACACACAAAGCUCCGAAGCUUGCAGCGGAAAUUAGAUGACAUCCAAAGUAGAAGUUAUUCUCCAGUAGUUGAGUUUCAACAUAAAAAUAUAUGUAGGGAAAUGGAUGUGUUACUGGAAAGAGAAGAAAUGAUGUGGAGGCAGAGAUCGCGGGUCUCAUGGAUGAAAUAUGGGGACAAAAACACUAGAUUUUUCCAUGAACAUGCAAAAAUGCGGGGACGGCAGAAUAUGAUUAAGGCUAUUGUAGAUGAUCAGGGGAUUUGGCGUACAUCUACUGAAAGUGUUGGCAUUGUUUUCUGUGAUUAUUUUCAAGGCUUGUUUGCUUCCAAUGGACUACAUGAGGCCGGGGCAGUCACUGAGGUGGUUAAGCCGAUACUCACUCCAUCUCAAAUUUUGCGCCUCAAUCAAGUUUUCUUAAGGGAGGAAAUCGAAACUUCUCUGGGUCAAAUGUUUCCUACCAAGUUUCCAGGAGUGGAUGGUAUGUCGGCAUUGUUUUAUCAGAAGUAUUGAGGGGUGGUAGGUGAUGACGUGGUUGGGUUCUGCCUUAAUGUCUUGAAUGGGGGUGCCAGUGUAAAAGAAAUUAAUCACACACUUUUGACGCUCAUUCCUAAGGUAGACAAACCAACAAAAGUUACUGAGUUUCGGCUGAUUAGUUUGUCUACGGUGAUCUACAAGAUGAUUUCCAAGACUAUAGUUAACAGGUUGAAGCCUAUUAUGCCUCUUAUCAUCUCUGAGUUCCAGAGCACGUUUGUCCCUACAAGGCUAAUUACGGAUAACAUUAUUGCUGCUUUUGAAAGCAUACAUGCUAUUAAACGGCGUGGUGGGAGUAAGCUGAAGAAAAUGGUGUUAAAGCUUGAUAUGUCUAAAACUUAUGACAGAGUGGAAUGGACCUUUAUUGAGGCUAUGCUUAAGCGCUUGGGCUUUAACGACAAAUGGGUGGAACUAAUCAUGGAUUGUAUAUCCACUGUUACAUACUCUGUCCAAGUUCGGGGGGUGGCUUCGGGAAUGAUUGUGCCAUCAAGGGGGCUGCGCCAAGGAGAUCCUCUUGUAAAAUAAUAUCUCGUAUAUUUUUGUGUGUUUGCAAUACAGAAUAAGGCCAAUAUAUAAAACCAACAAGACUACCUAAGGAAGGUAAUUUAAAUCCUAAGUUAAGGGCACUAAUUUGUACAAGCCUUAACAGAGAAGUUGACUAUUCCUAUACAAGGUAACAAAUAAUAUAUUUUGUAAUCUUUCCAUAUCUUCAAUAUUCCCCCUCAAGCUGGAGUAUGGAGAUCAAGAAUACCCAGCUUGUUUUUGAGUCGUUGGAAUUGAUCUUUACCUAAAGACUUGGUAAAGACAUCUGCGAGUUGCUCCUUUGAAGGAAUAUAGGCAGUACGUAAAGAACCAUUUUGAAUCUUCUCUCGAACAACAUGACAAUCGAUCUCAAUAUGUUUGGUGCGCUCAUGAUAUACUGGAUUAGCUGCUAUGUAUAAAGCAGCUUGGUUGUCACAAUAAAGUAAGCUUGGUGUGGUGUGUGACAGACCAAGAUCAUAAAGUAAAUAUCGUAACCAUUGGAGUUCACAAGUUGCCAUAGCCAUCGCUCUAUAUUCUGCUUCAGCUGAUGAGCGUGAUACAGUAUCUUGCUUCUUUGUUUUCCAUGAGAUAGGACUUUCUCCAAGAAGUACAAAGUAACCUGUAGUCGACCUCCUUGUCAUUGGACAGCUAGCCCAAUUAGAAUCACAGUAGGCUCUCAAUUGAAAAUUAUUAGAAGAUGAUAACAGAAUCCCUUGCCCUGGAGUCCCUUUCAAAUAAUGUAAUAAUCGAUCUGCAGCAUCUUUAUGAGUUGUACGGGGGCUUUGCAUGAAUUGGCUCAAAAUAUGAACUGUAUGAACAAUGUCUGGCCUGGUGAUGGUGAGAUAUAUCAAGCGACCCACCAAUCUUCUAUAGGUUUCUGGAUUAUGUAAUAGUUCUCCAUCUUCAUUGUUUAACUUGAGAUUUUGUUCCAUGGGGAAGAAAGUAGGACGUGAACCAAUAAGACCUGAGCCUUUCAAAAUGUCAAGUGCAUACUUCCGUUGGCUCAAAUACAAUCCCUUUGAAGAACGAGACACUUCUAUCCCAAGGAAGUAUUUUAAAUCACCAAGGUCUUUUAAAUGAAAACGUUGGUGCAACAAAUUCUUGAUAAUUGAUAUAGUAGCAACAUCGGUACCUGUAAUAAUAAUAUCGUCAACAUAUACAAGCAAGAAAAUUGAUGACUUACCUUUGUGACGAUAGAAAAGGGAGUAAUCUGCUUUAGAUUGAGAAAAUCCCGCAUCAAGUAAUGUUUUGGAGAAUUUUGCAAACCAACACCGAGAAGCUUGCUUUAAUCCAUAAAGUGAUUUGUUAAGACGGCACACCAUGUUUCCCCCCUUGCCGUGAUAACCUUGAGGGAGCUGCAUGUAAACCUCUUCAUGUAAAUCACCAUGAAGAAAGGCAUUGUUGACGUCUAAUUGUUGAAGACACCAACCCUUGGCAGCGGCCAAAGAUAAUAAAACACGAACAGUGGUAAGCUUGGCAACAGGAGAAAAAGUUUCAUGAUAAUCAAUCCCUUCCAUUUGCGUAUAUCCCUUGGCGACGAGGCGAGCUUUGCAUCGUUCAAUAGUGCCAUUAGAAUGCCGUUUUAUUUUAUAGACCCACUUGCAGCCAAUGGCUUUUUUAUGAGCAGGCAAGGCCAUGAGGGUCCAUGUAUGAUUAGCUUCCAAGGCAACAAGUUCACUUUGCAUAGCUUUACGCCAUUCAGGAUAUUUAGUAGCUUCAUCAAAAGUGUUAGGCUCAACAAUGGUAGUAAUAGAAGCAAGAAAACUUUGAUGUUUAAUAGAGAAUUUGUCAUAAGAUAAAUAAUGGGAUAAAGGGUACCUGGUGCCAUGUUGACCUGAAGUCGAAGAGGUUGCUUGAGAUUGGUAGCAGUGAUAAUCAUUAAGGUAACCAGGUGGUUUGCGACUACGAGGAGGAGGAGAUGAGGGAGGUGCUAUAAUGGUAGAGGAAGUAUUAGAAUUUGUGAUGGCUGGUGUAGGUGUUUCGGUAGGAGAUGGAGGCAAAAGAGAUGGGAGAGAAGAAAGUAUGUUGGUUGGUGGAGAAGAAGGUAUGUUGGUGGGUGGAGUAGAGGGAGACGUGUUAGUGUCUGGAGUGGCUUGUGUUUCUGGGUUAGAUAAAUCUGGUGAGGUAAGUGGAUGAGCGGAAGCUAAAGGAAGGUAGGAAUGUUCAAAAUCUGUUGCAGGAAUGGGUAAAACACCAGGUAAAGUGUGGUUAUUUUGUGAUAAAUUAUAAGGAAAAAUAGUUUCGUAAAAAGUGACAUCUCUAGAAGUGUAAAUUUUCUUUGUUUCAAGAUCAUAUAUUUUAUAAGCCUUUUGAAAAGGUGGAUAACCAAUAAAGAUACCUGGUUUUGCUCGUUUAUCAAAUUUAUGAGAAUGGGGAGACAAGUUAUGACCAUAACAAAGACAACCAAAAAUUCGUAGGUGGGUAUAAGAUGGUUCUUUGUUGAAAAGAAUUUCAUAAGGUGUUUUCCCAUGUAAGAUUUUGGUGGGUAAACGAUUAAUUAGAUAAGCAGCAGUAAGAACACAAUCACCCCAAAAAGAAACAGGUAAAUUUGAUUGAAAACGAAGGGAACGAGCAAUAUUUAAAAGAUGACGAUGUUUUCUUUCGACGACACCAUUUUGUUGUGGUGUUGCCACACAACUAUGUUGAUGAAUGACACCAAGUGAAGAAAAAUAUUGGUUCAAUUUGUGAUUAAAAAAUUCAGUUCCAUUGUCAGUACGAACUUGACGAAUAGAACAAUUAAAUUGUGUUUUGACCAUAGCAAAAAAAUAUGGUAAGUAGGUAUUAACUUCUGAUUUAUGCUGCAUUAAAUAAAGCCAAGUACUACGAGAAAAAUCAUCAACUAUGGUUAAAAAAUAUUUAGCACCAGAAAUUGAAGAAACAGAAUAAGGUCCCCAAACAUCACAAUGUAUUAAAUCGAAGCAAGCAUUUGUUGAUAUAGUGCUUAAAGGAAAAGAAAGCCGACAAUGUUUAGCCAAAGGGCAAAUAGUGCAAGCAUGAUUAUUAUCAAAAGAAAUUUUUGAAUUCAAACUUUGUAAAUAAGGAAGAGUACACUUGGAUGGAUGUCCUAAGCGCCAGUGCCACUGACUAAAAUUUGGGGAAGAGACAGCGGAAUUAGCAAUGGAAGGCACAUCAGGGGCUAGGUAAUAAAGACCACCACGUUCCUUGCCCUUACCAAUCAACCUCUUCGAACUCAAGUCCUGCAAAACACAAUGAUCAGAAUAAAAGGUAAUGGAGCAAUUAAGUAGUUUAGUGAUUUUGCUAACAGACAAAAGAUUGAAUCGAAAAUCGGGGACUAGCAAAACAUUUUUUAGAGGCAAGGAUGGUAAAGGUGUGGCAAAGCCAAUAUGAGUGAUGUUGGAUGUUUGUCCUGUUGGCAAUUUGAUGGGUGCGGUGUUAAGUGUGGUCAUGCUUUCUAAAAAAUUAGCAUUGGAAACCAUAUGAUCUGUGGCACCGGAAUCGAUGAUCCAAGAACCAAUAUUGAAUGAUGAAUUAAAACAUAAUGGGUUACCUACCAGAUUGGCUACUGAAUUAUUUUUACCAUAGGGUAACAAGGCAAUAAGCUGACUAUAUUGUUCUGAAGUCAGCGAUGGUGCAGCCAAUGUGUUGGUGGUCAUAGCAGCAAAGGAACCAGUAGAAGCAGUACUUGAAGAAGAAUACAUGUUCUUCUUUUGACAAUGAGAUUCAGUGUGCCCUGCAACAUCACAAAACUUACAAAGCAUAUAAGAUUUUAUGUCAGGAUUUUUCCGGCAGCAUGAUUGAGAGUGACCAUCAAGUUUGCAAAAAUUGCAAUGAUAAAAAGGCUUCUGAGAUGAUGAUUGAUUGGCAGCCAUGACUGACUGGUCAAGCGAUAUAGUGAUUGUACGGUGAAGAGAGGCUUGAAAGCAGGUUUAAGGUUUUAACAGAGACCAGUGUAGGCUCUGAUACCAUGUAAAAUAAUAUCUCGUAUAUUUUUGUGUGUUUGCAAUACAGAAUAAGGCCAAUAUAUAAAACCAACAAGACUACCUAAGGAAGGUAAUUUAAAUCCUAAGUUAAGGGCACUAAUUUGUACAAGCCUUAACAGAGAAGUUGACUAUUCCUAUACAAGGUAACAAAUAAUAUAUUUUGUAAUCUUUCCAUAUCUUCAAUACCUCUCUCUCCAUAUCUGUUUUUAAUCUGUGCGGAGGGACUGUCUGCUUUGCUUUCUAACGCACUCAGAAUCAAGCGUAUCAGCGGCAUUUCCGUGGCUCAGGGAGCACCUACUAUUUCUCAUUUAUUUUUUUGCAGAUGAUAGUCUACUUUUUUGUAAUGCCCAUCUAGCUGAUUGUGCUCAUUUGCUUCAGAUUCUCAGCAUGUAUGAAAGAGCAUCUGGUCAGAAAAUUAAUUUUGAUAAGUCGGCAGCAUGUUUUAGCCCCAACACUAAUCCAGUGAUGAAGCAACUGAUUUCUGAAAUGCUUGGAAUGCGAAUUGUUACAUGUCAUGAACGCUACCUUGGUUUUGUAAGAGUAUCAGUGAUGAUGAUAUUGCCAAGUGUCAAUAGAUCAAUGAGUAAGCUGUUAGAAUGUGGUUAGAGUUGUUAGCAAAGUGAGUAGCCAGCUAAGACUGUAGUUAGGCUGAUAUAAAGAUUGUAAUGUGCUCAGUUAGAGCUUAACAAAAUACAGAAACCUACAAUUCCUUCUCUAAAAUUCUCUUUGCUUCUACAGUUUCUUUACUCUGUUCUUCAGUUUCUCUUCAUCUUAACAUGGUAUCAUUCGCCAUGGAUCGAUCCUAAUAUUUUGUUCUUCUGCUUCCGCUCUCUCUUCCUCUUUGUUUUCUCUCUCUGGCUUCUUUCUCUACUCAAACACAGCAACCAAUUUCGUGUUCUUUCUUCUGCCUAUUACCUGUUUGAUGUUUUGUCUCACUGAAAAUUCUUCUUCAAUAUUUCUUUUUCAGAUAAUUUCUUCUUUCUCAACCCUAAAUUCUUUUCUUUUCUUCUUGGAUUCUCCACGUGGUGACUACUACUCAACUUCAGAUUCUCCAAUCUCCGAUUACCUCUUUCAUUCCUACUGUUUCUACCUCUGUCACUACCUAUGUUUCUUCAUGAAUUUCUCCUCUACUCCUCUUUCUUGAAUUUUAUUCUUUCUAGCAAGUUUAAAGAAUAGUUUUGCCUAUCGGCUAUUUGCUAAAUUGCUCCAGUGAAAUCCUAGUCUUGAUUUUCUCCAAAAUUGACCUUUCAAAUUAUUCUUCUUGCUCUCUUCAACUUGUGCUCGUUAUUUCUGCUCAAAUCUUGAAAUCUAGCACAAUUACAAUUGACUCUUACUUAGAAGUAAGGCAUGAUGGUGAAAUUGGAUUGGGAACCUUACAUUCCUCUGUUUUUCUGCUUCCUCUGACAUUUGAGUUGCAAUUCUUGCACUUAUGGUUAAAGAACAAUCAUUUCUAGCCCACGACUGAUAUUGAGCUAAGGUUUGCCUACCUUAGCUCAAUGCUGCAAAUCCCGGAUGUUUAAUCAUGUGCAAGACCAAGUGUGGCGAAAGCUCAAUACUUGGGAUACGAAGUUGCUGUCUACGGCGGGCAAGGAAGUCUUAAUUAAGGUGGUUGUUCAGGCACUACCUACUUAUACAAUGGGAGUAUUUAAAUUGCCACAAUCUUUGUGCCAGGAAUUGUCUGCUAUGAUUGCAAGGUAUUGGUGGGGGAGGAGUGGCAGGAAAGGAAUUCAUUGGUUGAGUUGGAGGAAAUUGUGUAAGCCAAAAUGUUUGGGAGGCCUUGGCUUCAGAAACUUUGAAGCUUUUAAUAAAGCCAUGGCAGCAAAACAGGCUUGGCGUAUUUUAGAGAAACCCACCUCUCUGGUGGCUAAGCUACUUAAAGCCCUUUUUUUUCCGCAUGGUGAUUUUAUGCAAGCUAGUUUGGGAACCUCACCGUCAAUGAUAUGGAAAUCUAUUUUGUGGGGUCGUCAGGUUAUUGAGGAUGGUCUGAUUUGGAGGGUGGGCAAUGGAGCUUCUAUCCGUGUUUUCCAAGAUAGGUGGAUUCCAAAACCAUUUACUUUCAAGCCGUUGUUGGCUAGAGGGCUGGAUUGGAAUACUACAGUCUCUAACCUUCUAACUGCUUCUGGUUCAUGGGAUUUACCACUGUUAGAGCAACAUUUUAGCUUGGAAGAUCAAGAUAUUAUUUCUGGCAUCGCCUUGGUAUCAGUCUCACAGCGGGGGGAUAGCAAAUAUUGGUUUUUCUCAAAGAACAGGAAAUAUACCAUUAAUACUGGGUAUUGUGUGGCGGUAAUGAGGAUUUUGGAGUGGGGGGAUCGGAUCAGAGUGCUCAGGAAGGUUUUUGGAUGCGAAUUUGGAAGCUUGCAGUCCCCAACAAAAUUAAAAUGCGAAUUUGGAGGGCAAGUUCUGAAAUUCUACCAACUGCAGCCAAUUUAUUUAAGAGAAGGGUGCUUACAUCUCAUGUGUGCUCAAGGUGUGGGAAAUAUCCUGAAGAUGCCUACCACGCUCUGUGGUGUUGUAAAAUGAGUCAAAUUUUUUGGAAGUGUACCUAUUUUAUCCGGCGAAUUACUAUGGCGGUUGGCACUUUUGCUAAUGUUUUUGAGGCUGUGGCUUCAAUGAUGUCGAAAGCUGACUUAGAGUGCUUUGCUUGUUGUGUGUGGAGUGCAUGGAAGCUACGUAAUGACUCUUUGCAUGGGAAACAGAUUACACGGUUGGAUAACAUGGUGGAAAACACGAUGGAAAGGCUGGCAGUGUUCAAAUCUUGUGAGGAGCGGUCCAAGCUCCCCUUCGUACCUCAACAGGUCCAUUGGUUGAAACCACGGGUAAAUACUUUUACUCUUAACUGUGAUGGGGCUGUGGGUCGUGGGCAAAGUGGUAGGGGUCUGGGGGGCUGCUGUAGUGAUCAUGACGGAAACUUUAUAUGUGGGUUUGCUUCUUUUGGUCCACCUGGUCUAGAUGUUUUGGGCACUGAGUUGGUGGCUGUCCGGGAAGGUUUAUUGAUGAUGGGAUACAUGGGUUUUACUCGGUUUACCAUUGGUCUUGAUUCUCAAGAAGCUAUUUAUUCUCAACGAUGGGUUGGAUUGGUGGAGUAAUAUUGGUAAUGUGGUGGAGGAUGUUCGUCGGUUAAUGGUUGAUCGAGAGGUGGCUGGAGUGUUCUAUCAACACCGGAAAGGCAAUGGGGUGGCACAUGGCCUAGCCCAGCAUGGAUUGAGAGCGAGGUCUCGACAUUUCUGGACAGACAAUGUUCCUCCUUGGCUAAGCAUUCGGUUAGAUAAUGAUAGAACUAUGGCGUAGAUCUUUGUUUGCAUUUUUGAGUUGCGGUGGUACUCUUUUUCCUUGACCGGAUUUUCCUCCAUUAGGGGUUUUUUAUGGCAAUGUUUUAAUAAGGCCACACUAACGCUCUCCGUUCGUUUGUAAACUUUUAUUGUUUGUCUAGUGCUAGUGAUGAAUGAAAUUUUCUAUUUGAUCAAAAAAAAGUUGGAAUAAGUAAAUAAAAUUUUCAUGACAUGACACAUGUGUCCCUAGUAUUAUUGAUAAGCUUUUUAUGCCGAAUAUGUAGAAAAUCUUAAGACUACGUAGUGUUAGUAUGGCAUUUUUUGAAUAACAUUUCUAUUGUUUCUUUUUCCUAACACCACAACCGACUUUUUAUUUUAUUUUUAUAUAUGUUUGAAUAAAUAUAAAAGAAAAGGACAGAGGGUGGUUGAUCUGAUUAUUGGUUGUGUUGUGUUCAAAGAAAGUUCCUUUCGCACCUUCCAGCUGCUUGGUUCUCUGCAUUUCUAAUACAAGAUUAGUCCAAGAAUUAUCUCCAACAUUGUAUUCCAAAACAUUCCAUUCAGGUUUGCACAUAUGUAUGGUCUAGCAGCCAUACUUGAUAAAUUAAACAUGUAAGGUGACUUGAUGAUGGAAGGCAGUCAGUCAUUCUGUGAAUAGCCAAAGUUAAAAUCAGCGCUGCAAAAUAUGAAUGAAACAUUUCAAAGAAGAAAAUUCAUCACCCCUUGAAAGCAUCUUAGGAAAAUUUUCUUUUGGUUUUUAGAACAAUCUUAUAAUUAAUCGUUACUUGAAAAAUUCAUUGCUCCUUGCAUGGUGUUGGAUUGCGUCACCGAGAUCAAAGAGUUCUGUUAGGCUCAUCCCGUCAGUCUGUGCAGAAAGGACUUGGAAAACUAGGAAAUCAAAUUUGAGUUUAAAUUGUCAUAUAUAACCAAGAGCUACAAAAGAAAAAAUGUGUCUCAUAUAAAAACAAGUUUUUGUUCAGUGUCCUGGAAAGCAAUUUCUCUUAGGAAGGAACUGGACAACAAUUGCUCCUCUCUCUCUUUAGUUACCGAUUUGAUCUCUAGUUGGAAGCUUGGAAUAUUAUUUAGCAAAUUAAAUGUUCAUUCUUAAGUCUGAACCUCCUCUCUCUCUUUUUUUUUUUUUCCCAACACAGUGACUGUCUAAGAGGGAAAUAAACUAACACCUUAACCUAAACAAAUGGCCUGAGCUCUCCACUCUGUCAUAGUCCUCCUAUACUGACCCACAUGUGUAAGAGGCAAUUUCACAAACAGGUUACCCUAAACAACUAAACUCAACAAAAAUCCAUCCUCACCAUUAACAAGAAGCAGAACAUGAAACAUCAGUGCACCGUCUCCAAGAGUGGGGUCGCCGGAGUUUUGUCUGGUCAAUGUGGCUAUCGUUACACUUUCUCAAUUAACAUUUUUGUGCAAGGUUAGCAACUGCCACAAUCUCUUAUUUCCUGCCAUUGUUUGAGCAUCGAGAAUCAGACUUCCACCCAUAAAAGAAACUGUUUCUUGUCCAGUCAAGAAAUCAACAAAGGACCACCCCAGACCUAUAAACGUCACUCCUUCUCAAUGAACAAAGGAAAACAGAAGGUGACUUUAUUUUAGACCAUGAUUUUAUAAUGCAGUACUAGUCGCCCUCAUAAUUUUCAAAUUUAAAUCAGGCUUACAAAAUAUCGGUCAAAGAAACAAUAUAAGUUGCUAGGUUCUCAACUUUGUUAAUAUCCGUGCUUAAAAAGAUUGUUCUUUACAUGAUGUGGGAUUUCAUGAGUGUAUGGAGAAAGCUUUAGCUCACUAAGAAAAACUACAUAACAAAAUUUGAGUUUUAAUUUAGGGUUCAAUCAUAUGUGACCGAGAUGUUAAAGUUAAUGUUUAAUCCCUUGUUAUAACUCUCGGACAAAAUGUGCUCGAGCAUAUUUUCUAGUAUAGAAAGAGCUCAAGCUUGUUUUGGUAGAGACUUUGUCUGACGUGUUUUUUGGGAAGCCAAGUUACUUUUGAUAUUAUUAGCUUUUAGAUGUGCGUGAAAAGGGUGAACUACACACAACUCCUUUAGAUGUAUCAGGAGAGGAAAACUCUCUUGAUUAAGAAAACUAAGCAAUCAAAAAUAUCAGAAAAAUAUCUCUGAGAACCACGUCUGAGUGUUAGACCUCUGAGUUCAGACACACCCAAAAAAAAAAAGAAAAAAAAGAAAAAAAGAAAAAAGGGACCUCUAAGUUCAUCUUGUUUCCAUCAUUCACUUCUCUCGUCUUGUAUAAAACCCAACACAACAAACAGAGCUAGAAAAUUUCCUUGCAGAUAAGGUGACAGUCUAAAAGAUGAUUCCAAGUCCAAAAACCGAGAAUAUAUAAUUACAACAAAUAUUUGUUCGCUACUGUGUAUUGAAAAACAAUAUUGGUUGUACAUCGAAUGAAGAACCUGUACCGCCAUCCGUACAAGGACCUGUUGAUGUAGAAACAGCAUCCCAAACCUCAUUUAUUUCCUGAGUUUGGACACAUCGGACCUCUGGGAAAACUUGUUGAACAUCAGAGUCAGCUCUAACUGACAAUUGAAUUCCCUCCAACUCCAUUGCUACUUCUUUCUGUUAGUCUACAACCCAAACAGCCAGAACGAAUGUAACUCAUGCUGCACGUGUCUGUUAGGAUGGUCACGUGUCUGUUAGUUAGGAUGAGCUGGCUAAUGAGCUGGCUGGUUGUUAUUGUUGUUAAUCUGUUCUUAACUUAAUUCACUAGUUAUUUAGCUAGUAGAGAUAUAUAAGUUUAAUUGUAAAACUCUGUAAACAAGUAAAGAUGAGAAAAUCAAUUUGAGAACUCUAUUCUGUUUUGCUUACUCUCUCUCUCUCUCUCUCUCUCUCUCUCUCUCUCAAUACUUCUAGUCUGAGAAGCUUGAUCUGGUUCAUCCAUGGCUUCCAUGAAGAAAGCUUUCAUGGUAUCAGAGCAUUACCUUUACAUAUCGUGACUAAUUUCUCUAUUCCGCUGCUCACUUCUUAGCUCGUAUCUCUCACGCUCGUCUUUUUGAGGUUCUGCUUUCUUCUCAAUUUCUUCAUAUCUUUGUCAUUUUUCUUCAUCUCCAUUUUCGAUUCUUGCCUGUUCCAAUUGGUCUGCCAAUACACUCUCUUGCUUCGUUUCUCCCUGAACACAAUCUGAAUUUCAGAAUUUCUGCACUGGUUGAUUGUGUGCCUAAACCCUAGCUUCUGUUGAAAAUGGGGAAAACCUCUGUUACACCGAUUGAUUUGCUUCAUAAUGCCUCCAAUUAUAUUACUUUGAAACUGGAUGAUACAAAUUAUAUGCAAUGGAGCUAUCAGGUUGCGAAAUUUCUCAAAGUUUAUUGACUUUCUGAGUUUCUUGAUGGCACGGUUAUGGUGCCUACUGAUCCUGAUGGAGAUGAUUAUCUAGACUGGGAAGCAAUGGAUACUGCUAUUUUGAACUUAAUUGCUGCAAGUCUCUCAGAUGAUGCUUUCUCUGAGAUGAUGAAUUGUAAGUCUGCUACGGAGGCCUGGAAUACACUGUGAGAUCAUUAUUCUUCGAUCUCUGAGCUUAAGAUCAUGCAUCUUAAGAAUAAUUUGCAUGGAAUGCAGAAAGGAACUGAUUCUGUGGAGGUCUAUUGGAAGAAGGUUCGUGCAGCUCGACAGCAAUUGUCAACUGCUGGUCAUUCUAUUUCUGAUCAGGAUAUGAUUUUGCUUAUUCUCAAAGGCUUGCUUGUGGAAUACAAUCCCUUCAAAUCUCAUAUCCGUGCUCGACCAGUUCGAGUUACUCUUCCGGAGCUGCGUGAUUUACUGCUCGAAGAAGAAUGUGAUUUGGAUGCUGCUGCUAAGUCCUUUAAUUCUCCAAUCAUGACUACUAUGGUUGCUCAGAAGGGCACCGUAUCCUCAUCACCACCUGUUGCUCACGGUGAUAAUUUUCACUCUGGUUUGGUUGAUCGUGAAGGUGCUAAUCCAAAUUGGCAACCUCCCUGGAAUCGAAGCCCGAAUUAUCGUGGUCGUGGCUCUUGGUCUCGGGGCAGAUCAUGGAAUAAUGGUGGCCGAGGCAAUCCUUGGAAUAAUAAUGGUCCUAACUGGAAUGGUGGUAAUAAUGGUCCUAACUGGAAUGGUUCUACCAAUCAGUGGAAUCACGGUCGUCAGUCUGGAAAUUCCUAUGGUCAAUGGAACCAAAAUUCUGGUUCGUGGAAUAACAAUGCUGGUUUCAACAAUACUGGUCCAUGGCAUCCAGGGGGCAACUCAGGUUCUUCUCCUCAGUAUUUUGUCUCUUCGAAUUCCAGCCCUGGUGUUUUGUCACCUUCCCCUACGACUCCACCAGUUUCAACUGCUGCAUCUUCUCCAGCUACUGAAACAUGUCAAAUCUGUCUCCAGUUUGGUCACACAGCUCCUAAUUGCCCACAUCGCACCAAUUUCUCAUAUCAAGGCACGCCUCCAUCUCCAGCACUUACAGCUCUUACUGCAACUGCUAGUGGCUCAUUCUCAGAUCCCAACAUAUGGCUAACAGACAGUGGUGCUACAAACCAUAUGACAUCCGAUCUUCAGCUGCUCUCCAACAUCACUCCUUCCACUUCCAUGGAUAAUGUUACUAUAGGUAAUGGUACUGGACUUAGGAUUGCUAAUGUUGGUAGUUCCUCUCUUGUCUCUGGUCAUCAAGUCUUUCAUCUACCUGAGGUCUUGCAUGUUCCUAAUCUUGCCACUAAUCUGUUAUUGGUUCAUCAGUUUUGUCUUGAUAAUCACUGCCAGAUUUUAUAUAAUGCAUUGUGGUUCCAAAUCCAGGAUCUGCAGGGGCGAAUUCUGUAUCAAGGACAGUGCCAUAAUGGUCUUUAUCCACUUCCAACAAGGACACCUUCUCUUUUUCCUAGCCUGGCUGCUUUUCAUGGUCACAAAGUGUGCCAUACUCUGUGGCACUAUAGAUUAGGUCAUCCUUCUCAUGAUAUUACUAGUUUUAUGCUAGCCAAGCUCAUAUUCCCAUUUCUCCUAGUUUGCCACAUAUGUGUAGCUUUUGUUUACAAGGCAAGAUGUGUAAACAACCAUUUCCAUCUUCACAUAUUAUGUCUCAAAUCCCUUUUGAAGUGAUACACUCGAAUGUCUAGGGUCCUACUCCCUAUUCCUCUUUGCAUGGUCAUAGGUACUAUGUAAUUUUCCUUGAUGAGUGUACCAACUUCUGUUGGUUAUUUCCAUUAAUGAAGAAAUCUGAUUGUUUCCCUACUUUUGUUCAUUUUCUUGCCUACAUUGAGAAUCAGUUUGCUACUUCCAUUAAGACUUUCCAAUCUGAUGGUGGGGGUGAAUAUGUUAGUAAAGAUUUUCAGACCUAUCUUGGUUCUAAAGGAAUUUUACACCAUAAGUCUUGUCCUUACACCCCUGAGCAAAAUGGAAGAGCUGGAAGGAAACAUCGCCACUUAGUUGAAACUGCUGUUACACUUCUCACUACUGCUGCUCUUCCUUCCAAAUAUCUUUUUCAUGCAUUAUCCACAGCUAACUAUCUCAUUAAUAGGAUGCCAUGCAAGUCUUUAGGUAUGCAAUCUCCUAUUUCUAAGCUGUUCCAUAAAGAACCCAAUAUUACUCUUUUGAAGGUGUUUGGAUGUGCAUGCUAUCCUUUAUUACGACCCUAUUCUCAAUCUAAAGUGCAACCUAGGUCUGAACAAUGUGUCUUUUUGGGGUAUUCUUUAGAAUAUAAAGGUUAUCUUUGUCUAGUACCCAAAAUUGAUCGCAUUUACAUCUCUCGCCAUGUUGUCUUUGAUGAGACUUGUUUUCCUUUUAAGAGUUCUUCCUUUUCCCAGACAGUCCCAAACCACCAGAUUUCACACCACUAGGCCCUUCCCUUUCUCCUAGAUCUUCUCUACAUUCUGCAUGCACUCUUAGACUUGAUGGUUUACCAGAGGCUCCUUCUUCUACUACCCAAUUAGCAAGUCCAGUAUCUAAUGCAAGGGAAGUUGUCUCUUCUGUUGAUGUUAUUGAUUCUUCUACUGAGUUUGUACAGGAUCAGCUACUGCCACUACAGGAUCAGGUACCAACAGAGUCUUCCACUCAGUCAGUCACAUUAUCUUCUUCUCCUGCGCAUGCCUUGGAUAAGUCCCCUUCCCUAGAUCUGAUUGUGGACCUUCCUGCUCCACCUGUUAACUCACAUCCUAUGCAGACUCGCUCCAAGUCUGGAAUUAUCAAGUCUCGUCAUGGUUUCUUGGCUGCCAAGUCCAUAAGUGGCCCUUCUCCUUUCCAUGAACCACAGACUUAUUCUCAGGCUGCCAAGGUUUCAGAAUGGAAUCAUGCUAUGGUUGAUGAGUUUCAGGCUCUUGAAAAGCAGCAUACUUAGACUCUUGUUCCUUAUCAACCCUUCAUGAACAUUGUUGGUUGUAAAUGGGUGUUCAAACUUAAGAAAAAUGCUGAUGGUUCCAUUUCUCGGCACAAGGCUCGGUUGGUUGCCAAAGGGUUUCAUCAAGAGGCUGGUCUUAAUUAUGAUGAAACAUUCAGUCAUGUGGUCAAGCACUCUACAGUUCGAUUGAUCCUUGCUUUAGAUGCUCAAUAUCAUUGGUCCAUUAAACAACUUGACGUGAAGAAUGCUUUUCUUCAUGGUGUACUUCAUGAUGAAGUAUAUAUGCAACCGCCCCCAGGUUUUGAAGAUUCUGCUCAUCCUCAUCAUGUGUGCCGCUUAUUGAAGUCCCUUUAUGGGUUGAAACAAGCUCCUCGGGCUUGGAAUGAGCGUUUCACUACUCACUUGCUCACCCUUGUUUUUAUUCAAUCAUUGGCUGAUACAUCUCUGUUUGUUCGCGUAUCUGGGAGUGAUCUUCUUGUUCUCCUUUUAUAUGUCGAUGAUAUCAUCUUGACUGGGAAUAAUAGUGUCUUGAUUCAGCAGACCAUUACAGCUCUCAGUCGUGAAUUUGAUAUGAAGGAUCUCGACCAAUUAACCUAUUUUCUGGGACUCCAAGUUCAGUAUACUUCCACAGGCAUUCAUGUUAAUCAAUCCAAAUAUGCGACUGAUCUUCUUCUUAAAGCUGGUAUGACUCAAUGCAAGCCUUGUUCUACACCCUGUUUACCUACAGCAAAGUUACUCAAGUUUGAUGGCACCCCUCUCUCGGAUCCUACUCUCUAUAGAAGUCUAGUGGGAGGGCUUCAAUAUCUUACCUUCAGCAGGCCUGAUAUUGCUUUUGCCGUGAACACUCUUUGCCAGUUUAUGCAUACUCCUACAGAUACACAUUUUGCUGCGGUCAAACGUGUGCUGCGCUAUUUGGCUGGUACUCUGACUCAUGGCAUUCAUUUCACCUCUGGUGAUGUUCAUCUGCAAGCCUAUUCUGAUGCAGAUUGGGCAGGUGAUGUCAAUGAUCGUUGGUCCACGACAGGGUAUGUUGUCUUUCUCGGCAAUAAUCUUAUCUCUUGGUGUGCUAAGAAGCAAAACACUGUCUCUCGUUCCUCGACUGAAGCAGAAUACAGGGCUCUUUCAAUCACUUCCGCUGAGUUAUCCUGGCUUCGCCAACUUCUACGUGAUCUUCAUAUCUUUCUUGAUCGUCCCCCUAUUCUUUGGUGUGACAAUAUUUCGGCUUUAGCCCUUGCUAGCAAUCCUGUGUUUCAUGCACACACUAAGCACAUUGAGAUCGACUUCCACUUUAUCCAUGAGCGUGUUACUAGGGGAGAUAUGCUGGUUUCUCAUAUUCCUAGUAGUAAUCAACUGGCUGAUAUAUUCACUAAAGGGCUGCAUACUUCUCAGUUUUCUUAUCUUCGAAACAACCUAAUGCUUAGUCCCCCAAGCAUUAGCUUGAGGGGGGGAUGUUAGUCUACAACCCAAACCGCCAGAAUGAAUGUAACUCAUGCUGCAUGUGUCUGUUAGGAUGGUCGCGUGUCUGUUAGUUAGGAUGAGCUGGCUAAUGAGGUGGCUGGUUGUUAUUGUUGUUAAUCUGUUCUUAACUUAAUUCACUAGUUAGUUAGCUAGUAGAGAUAUAUAAGUCUAAUUGUAAAACUCUGUAAACAAGUAAGAUGAGAAAAUCAGUUUGAGAACUCUAUUCUGUUUUGCUUACUCUCUCCCUCUCUCUCUCUCUCUCUCUCUCUCUCUCUCUCUCUCUCUCUCUCUCUCUCUCUCUCUCUCUCUCUCUCUCAAUACUUCUAGUCUGAGAAGCUUGAUCUGGUUCAUCCAUGGCUUCCAUGAAGAAAGCUUUCAUAGUAGGACGAUUCCUUCCAUUCAAAUUCAAGCAUCUAACAGCAAGGUUAGCAACUGCUGUAAUCUUUUCCUUUCUACCAUCCUUCAUAACUUGAGAAUCAAGAAUAUCAAAUAGAAGAUUAUUCUCCAUGGAAAGCAGGAAAUAAGUUGCUAGACUUCUGCUUUCUUGUGACCUCAUCAAAGAAACUGGUUUUUGUCCAGUCAAGAGCUCAGCAAGGGCCACGCCAAAGCUAUAAACGUCACUCUUCUCUGUAAACUGGCUUGACCGGAAGUACUCCGGGUCCAGAUAACCAAACUUUCCAUAUACUAGUGUAGUAAGGUGCGUUUGAUCAAUGGAAACUGAUCUUGAAGUCCCAAAGUCAGCUACUUUUGCUCUGUACUUUUCAUCCAAUAGUAUAUUAGAAGACUUGAUGUCUCGGGGGUAAAUGGGAAAGGAAGCAGCUGAGUGUAAGUAGGAAAGAGCUCCUGCAACUUCAAUGGCAAUUCGUAAGAGCAUUUCCCAUGUAAGACAAAACUCCUCAUUUGGGUGAUGAAUAUACUGAGAAAGCGUUCCAUUGGGUAUGAAUUGAUAAACCAAAAGGGGGACUUCAGUCUCUAAACAACACCCCAAUAGUUUAACCACAUUUCUGUGAAUAAUUUGGGAAAGAAUGACAAUUUCAUUUAUAAAUUGUCCGACUUCUCCUCCAGCAACUAUUUUAGACUUCUUGACAGCAACAAUUCUUCCAUCUGACAACAUUCCCUUGUAAACAGUACUUUGACCUCCUUGACCAAGAAUUCUAUCUAUGCUGAACUUGUCUGUGGCUUUGUCUAAAUCCUUUGAACUGAACACCUUAAUUUUCUCAACAUUAACUUCACCAGAAGAUAAUUGCUUCUCCAACAAUAAACCUCCAUUUUGUUUUAAAAACUUUUGCUUGCGUUUGAUAUCCUUCCUCUUCUUUAUAACUUUGUGCGACCACCGAGCUCCAAUUAGUAGAAACAAGAGUCCAAUCACACCGCCAGCAACUGAGUAGCUCAAUAAGAUACAAAUAUUGAUAACGUGAUCAAGAAGAUUUUUGUGUGACAAAUGUCUAUGAUGUCAAAUUUUCCACCAAAGGGCCCAAAGUUUAAUUCAUUUUAGAGUUUGAAAGUGCAUUGGCAUACCUAAAAGGGCCACGGGAAUCCGUAGUCUCGGUGGCAUAUCCGUGGAGCAUAAAAGUGCCCUGGAAUAUUUGUACAACUGCCGUGACCACAUAUAUUGGGGUUUUCACAUUCGUUGAUAUCUGAAAUAUAUAAUGACAAGUGGAAAAUGGGGGAAAAAAAGAAGAAAAGAAGGGAUGGUUAAUUAUAAAUGGUACACAACACCGAAGAAUUUCUUCAGGUAUCUACAAAAUCAAUUAAGGAAAUCCAAUUGUACUCAUCGUUUACCUUCGUUGGUUGAAGAAUUUAAUUAAUACUAGAUGAUGUAAAGCGAGAACAAUUACAAACAAUAAAAAUUAGGGUGAUGUACAAAUCAGUACUGAAAAAAGGAGUUCUCAAAAUAAAAAGCAGAGACAGAAGCUAGAUAUAAUUAAUUACAUAUGCACCUUGACAAGUUUCAAGAAGAUAGGGAUUUCCUACAAAGCCUUUUCGGCAGUAACAAGAAAGCGUUGAGCGAUUGGUGUAAACCAAAGGGUAGAUAUUGCAGAAGGAUGCAACUGUAUAAUUAUAAUAAUUAUAAUCAUUAUAAUCAUCAGGAUCAAAAUUAUCUGUAACGUAGUUUCCAAAUAAUGCUCGUGAAGAAGUAGAGUUGAUUAUAUUCCAUUCUAGCACCACAGGAACGUGCAUUAUACUCUUGACAUCAUAAAUAUAAGAUGAUCUCUGAAACCAAUCCUUGUCAACCAGAAACGCAUAGUCGUCACAAUCAGCCUUUCGAGUUUCGCCUUUGUAUAGAAUGGAAGCGCCUAUCAUAAUUAGAUAUGGAGGAAUAGUAGUCUGGCAACAGUUGAUACCAAUAUCGCAGGAAGCAUUAUAGCUUCCAUAAUCACAAACUGACCUGCACCCACCGACCACAAACUCAGCUGAUUCCAUCAUGGCAAGGAAGCCACAACUAACUGCAGUGAAUCUGUUUUUGUCCUGAGAGUAGACGAAAGGGCUGCCCAUCAAAUUAGCCAUUUCGCUACUUCCAUUUCCGUUGCAGAAGAAGGUAACAGGGCUGUUCACCCGAAGCGUGCCUUCAAUAGAAAUACUCAGCACCUCCAGUUGGGCUCGCUUCAAAACAGGCUUGUGAGCAGAGCUGGUAGUUUUAGAAGACUGGUUGCUGCACUCGAUUUCAAACCAGUCGUCUAAGUAGCAAUCUUUGUGUCCAAUUCCAAAAGGGUAGGGGAUCAAGACGCCUCCACAUUUCUCUUUGCAGAACGGCUUUGCGUUCGGAUAAUAAACUUCUUGUGCUGCAGCUGCUGCACAUGCAUAUAUAAUCAACAACACGAGGACUAUUAAUAAUAAAAUCAUCAUAUGAACUGCUUGCGAUUGCAUUGUUCCUAUGCUCGGAUAAUAAAAAGUAAAAGAUUAUCAAGCAAAAGUUUUCUUUUCAACUUAGUGCUUGUACUAUAUAUAAUAAAGACCCCUGCUCGAUCGAAGAAAAGUGGGUUCGCAUUGAAGGCUACUUUUCUUUUUGUAAUGUGAGUGGAAGUUGUAUAUGAUUAGUAGUUGAGUAUUCAAGUGGAAAUUGUAUAUGACAUAUUGUACUCACAUUCUAACCUUCUGGAUUGGAAGUUGUAACUGCACUCACAUUCAGACUGGAAAAGUUCAGAAAAAGAGCAAAACGUAAUAUUUAUGGAACAUGCAUUAAAAUAUGAGUGAAUUAUGGUGUGAAAAAUUAAUUAAAAUAAAGUGGCUCAAAGUUGGAAGGAAAUCAUGCAAGAGAUUAAAAUUCCAAUUAAAUAUCAAUUAUGGCGCUAGGAAAAGAAUGAAGGCGUAUCGUUGGGAUUUUGAAGAAUAAGUUAGCUACUAGGAUAUUAUUUCCCUAAUAUGAUUUUUAUUAUAUUCUUAUUAGCUAAGUUUAGGAAUAUUCUAGAACCUAGGGUUUCUUUGUUUUCUAUUUAAGCCAACUUGUGGCAUUGUAUUUGUGAGUUUAUUCACUUAUUUUCAAUCAAUAUAUUUGAGGUUUACUCAAUUUCUCUGGUGGAUUCCAGUUUGUUGGUGGAUUCCGACAUUGGUAUUUGUAGGGUUAACGGUCGAUCUCCCUAUCCCUUAUAUCUCGCUACGUCAGUUGGUAUCAAAGUAGGUUUUGCCUGACUCGAGGUGUCUCCAAUGGCUCAUCCAGAUGAAGAAGAUAGGACCUGUGGAGAUGGGGAACCAAUCACUCUAAAAGAAUUUGAUGGUGCAAGUGUUCCAUACUUCAUGGGGAGUGACUGCAUCGAAGGCUUUCUCCAAUGAGUUGGAGACGUAGAGGAAAUAUUUGAUUCAAUAGCGAUCCCAGAGGAGAAGAUGGUAAAAGUUCUUGCGUCCCGUUUAGAAGACGAUGUUGCUUCUUGGUGGGAUCAAUUGUGAAAAUCUAGGAAGCAACAAGGUAAAAAUCCUAUCAGUGCUUGGCGUUGGAUGAAGAGACUUCUUGUGAAAAAAUUCUUUCCUUUUGAAUAUGAUAUAUAUUUGUUAAGGAAUGGUUACAAGAUUGCUCAACCCAAUAUCAUGGUGAGUUAAGAAAAGAUGGAGGAAGAUCUCGAAGAGGAAGAUCUCGAAAAGGAAGAUCCAAUAAUCCACAAGAUGGAGAGAUUCAAGAAAAACAAGAUAUUGAGCCUAUUGAAACUCAUGUUGUUGUUGAAAUAGAUAUUUCAAAAGAUGAAGAACAACAAUUGGAUUCCUCUGAAAUUCGAGGUAUGGAUAAAUCCAAAUUUGGAGAGGAAAAUAAUUCAUACAAGAAGUUUGAUUCUCAACUGGCAUAUUCUAAUCUUGUUUAUAGAAUUAAUUAUAUGAUUAUUCCAUCCAAAUAUGAGCAAGUCCAAACACCACAAAUUGAAGAGCUUAUCUACACAACAAAUUCUAUGUCUACUCAGGUUCAUUCUAACGAGAACUCGAGGUCGAGUUCUUUACAAGUGAAGGGUCUGAUGUAGGACGAAAUAUGGUUCUAUUAUGGUGUGAAAAAUUCAUUAAAAUAAAGUGGCUCAAAGUUGGAAGGAAAUCGUGCAAGAGAGGAAAAUUCCAAUUAAAUGUCAAUUAUGGCGCUAGGAAAAAAAGGAAGGCGUAUCGUUUGGAUUUUCUAAUUGAUUGAGGAAGUUUGAAGCAAUUAUGAUCCUGUCAAGAUUUAUAUUUAAUUUUAUAUUUUGAAGAAUAAGUUAUCUAUUAGGAUAUCACAGUCCCAAUCUCUUGGACUACAGGGGUCCAAGAGAUUUGUGGUCACUCACCGUUGGAUGUAAAUUCAACGGUUUAUUCACUCUUGCACUCCUUUUAGGAAACUUUUUUGAACCGUUGAAUGUUACAUCCAACGGUAGGUGAUCAUAAUCUCUUGGACCCCUGUGGUCCAAGAGAUCGGGACUGUAGGAUAUCAUUUCCCUAUUAUGAUUUUUUUUUUAUUAGCUAAGAGAACCUAAGGUUUCUUACAGUUUUAGGGUUUCUUUGUUUUCUAUUUAAGCCAACUCAUGGCAUUGUAUUUGUGAGUUUAUUCAUCUUAUUUUCAAUCAAUAUAUUUGAGAUUUACUCAAUUUCUCUGGUGGAUUCCAGUUUGUUGGUUGAUUCCGACAUUAUUACUUGUAGGGUUAUCGUUCGAUCUCCCUAUUCCUUAUAUCUCACUGUGUCACUUUUCAACUUGACUUGAAAGGUAAGAGCGGAACUUUUUCAUUUGUUCGAAUUGAAGGCUCCUUUUCUUUUUGUAAUGCGCGUGGAAGUUGUAUAUGACUAGUAGUUGAGAAUAUUCAAGUGUUUCCUUCUCUUCCUAUCUAUCCCAAAAAAAAAAGUAAAAAAAAAGUUGACUUGACUUCAGUCACUCACAAAAGGAAAUGCAGUACAUACUGAGUCAAUUAUUAUGGCCAUAAAGAAAUUAAAAAUGAAAAGUAUUCUUUAAUUGUUUUUUCUUCUUAUUUUGUCGUUUUCAAGUACAUAAAAAUGUUGUGAAAUCAAGUCAAUGAUUACAUAGAGCUCAGCAAACGUAACAUUAACUAACUAAACAAUAAUAUCUUGAAGGGUCAUGCAACACAAGAGAAACAGAUUUUUAUUUGGUUUUAUUUUCACUGUAUAACCUGUUGGACGUUUGCAAACAAAAGGUUCCACAUAAAAUAAAAUAUUUUAUUUUAUUUUAUUUUUUAAAUUUCUUUUAGGAGAAGUUAAAUUCAAACCAAAAGUCUUAUCUUUUUGUUUGAAUUUGAAUAGGCAUAGCUGAUACUAAUUGCUAUUUUGAAGGGUUGCAAUUGUGUUAUAAAACCACAAGUCCUAACCCAUAAUACGAUUAUCUUUUUCAAACUAUCUCAUACUGCUUUAAAAAUUACAUACUGUAUUGGAGAGAGAAUUCAAGGAUUUGAUGCCAGACCUUGAGUUAUAGAUAGUUGAAUCCUAAGAGAUAAUACGCCUGUUGAACUUCAAGCAUUGAGGAUAGGCGAAAUUCUGUCUUUAGGACAUUGAGAAUCUGCAAAUCUCUAUCUUCAAUAAAAGUAUUUUGUAAUCGUGUAUUAAUAUAGUGAUCCUAUAAUAUAAGAUCUUUAUUUAUUUUUCCUGACAUAACCAACACAAGCAAAGCCAGAAAAUAGGUUCCACAAGGUGAUAGUCUAAAAUCUUCUAACGUCUCGUCUAAAGAUUUUCUCGAGUGAUCUAGUCAUAAUUAAUUUUUAUAUAUAUCCGGUGAUUUGUGUUUAUGGCAAUCAUUCAGUUUAGCUAAUCGGCCACUCUGAUCUUCUUGGUUGAAACUGCAGCCAUCACAGUGAGAUAAGGAGGAACGGAAGUCUGACAGCAGCUGAUACCAAUAUCGCAGGAAGCAGAGUUUUGAUGAUCACAAACUUACCUGCAGCCACCAACCACAAACUCUGCUUCCAUCCCGGCAAGGAAGCCGCAGCUAACUGCAGUGAAUCUGUUUUUUUCUAGAGAGUAAACGAAAGGGCUCCCCGUCAAAUCCACCAUUUUGCUACUUCCAUUAUUUCCGUUGCAGAAGAAGGUAACGGGGCUGUUCACCUGAAGCGUGCCUCCAAUAGCCUGAUGCAGGCCUCCAGUAGAAAUAUUCAGCACCUCCAGUUGGGCUCGCUUCAAAACAGGCUUGUAAUGAGGAGCAGAGCUGGUAGUUUUAGAAGACUGGUUGCUGCACUCGAUUUCAAACCAGUCGUCUAAGUAAAGAGAAUAUCACUCCGGUUCAUCCCAGGAAAUCAGUUGAUUUCCCCAAAUCAGACUUGACAGAUUCUUCCUCCCAAGAUCAACGACAUAUUAGCUAGAAUUGAUUCAUAACAUAUAUGAGAUUAUUGUACUUACCAUGUAUUGCUUAUUUCUGUAAAUAGACUUGAGAAAGUCUACUCUCUGUACAUUAUAUACGGCUGCAAUACAGAGACCAAAUACACUGGUUGAUUCAAUUACUCUCCUCCUCUAUCUCUCAUCUCUCUUCUCCCCCCUGAACUCUGUUUCUUAUAUGGUAUCAGAGCUCUUCGGAGCCAAAGCUCACGUUUUUCGAUCCUACCCAAUCAAAUGGCAAACACACCCAAGUCUGGAGAAUCAAGUCAUAUUGAUAUGACAAAACUGAUUUCUGAAAUGUCAAAGCUUGCCUCACCCUCAUUCUCAUUCCCAUCCUUGCCCACCUCUUUCAACAUCUCAUCUCUGUUCCCAAUUCCCAUGGACAGAACCAACUAUUUGAGUUGGAAAUCACAAUUUGAAGACGUAUUGGAGAUGCAUGGCCUUGCAGAGGUCAUCAAGAAAACCACAGACCCACCCAAAGUGCAAGAAGAUGGCUUUGUGCAUCCUGAGUUCGCCAGAGACAAACUGGUCUUGAGUUGGAUCAAGGCGACUUCCUCCUCUUCCAUAAAGAUUCUACUCAUCCCGUGUACCACCGCCUAUCAGGCUUGGAAUCUUCUGGGCAAGCGCCUCUCACCCCUUGCAGGUACCCGUGUGCGAAUCCUUGGAGACCAAAUUCGCACCCUCAGGAAGGACAACACCACAACUGUGACUGACUACCUCAACCAUGCCAAAUCACUUCUUGAUUCCCUCAUACAAGCUGGUGCAACAAUGGAUGAUGAUGAAUUCGUUAGCUAUGUUCUAGACGGACUUGGGCUUGAAUACAAGGAGUUAGCCACCACACUCCACUUGCACCCAGAUAUUGGUUUUGACCAGUUUUAUGAUCUCGCUCUCAGAGAGGAACAAUUACAGAAACGCAUGUCGCUCAACGUGGCCUCAAGUGUUGCUAUGGCUGCUGAUCGAAUGCCCAAUGAGCGAAAACCUCAUUCAAACUCCGCUGGUCGCCAUCACAACCCCUAUCACGGAUCUGGACGAGGACGUGGACGUGGCAGAAAUUGGAUUCAAGGGCACAAUGGGCAAACAGAUCCGUGGAAAUCAACCCAAGGAAAUUGGCCACAAGGACACAACACUCAGCCUCGUGACCCGCAGAUUGCACCAUCUGCCCCUUCUCACGCAACUCUUACAGAUGGCCGACCACCACUCCUUCCAACACCACCUGGAAAUUCUCCAAAUACCCAGCGCUCAGAAGUCAUUUGUUAUCGGUGUGAUAGGCCUAGUCACAUAGCCCGCUUCUGUCCAGAUCGUAAGCCUCAUGCCUACGUGGCUGAAAAUGCUAUCAACCCGUCUCCUUCUACUGAUGAUAUAGCAAACCUCAAUUGGUGUCUUGACUCCGGUGCUACCCAUCACAUGACCGCCCACACCGCUUCUCUACCGCAUGCCCAGCCUUACACAGGUACUGAUACAAUUAUUGUUGGCAAUGGGAACCAGUUAGCAAUAACACAUAUUGGCAAUACUAAAGUGACCGGGUUACAUAAGUCCUUAAACCUUAAUGAAGUGCUAUGCGUACCUGCAAUACGAAAGAAUUUGAUAUCUAUUCGUUGUCUUUGUCGUGAUAAUGAUUGUUUCUUUGAGUUGGAUGCUAAUGGUUUUCAUGUCAAGGACAUCAAGGCGGGGACGAUACUUCUUACUGGCAGUAGUUCUGAUGGGCUUUAUCACAUUCAGGCAACCCCACAUCUUGCUCGUCAACUUGCAUUCUAUGGAGAGCGCACGACACAGGAAGUGUGGCAUGCACGCCUUGGACAUCCAUCUCAUUCAGUUUUUACAACCUUGUUGAAUAAGUACCAUUUACCCGUUAAUGGUACCAUUAUCUCCAAUAAAAAUUGUCAUAUUUGCCCAUUGGGAAAAUCUUGUAGACUGCCUUUUGAAUACAGACAGCUUCAUGCUCAAUCCUCAUUAGCACUUUUACAUCUUGAUGUAUGGGGGCCCGCGCCAGUCCCCUCAAAUUUUGGAUACCAUUAUUAUUUGUCCAUUGUUGAUGACCACACUCGGUUCACUUGGUUAUAUCCUUUGGCUAAGAAGUCCGAUGUCUUUCCUACAUUUAUUACCUUCAAAAAGAUGGUGGAAAAUCGGUUUAGUUCUCAAAUCAAGCAGUUGCAGGUUGAUGGUGGGGGUGAAUUUAUCAACAAAUUAUUCCUCGCAUUUUUACGUGAUCAUGGCAUAUCGCAUCAAAUUUCUUGUCCCUACACUCCCCAACAAAAUGGAGUGGUGGAAAGGAAACAUCGCCAUAUUGUUGCAAUGAGUCUUUGUCUGCUAGCCCAAUCGCGAUUGCCUCUUAGUUUUUGGAUUGAAGCCUUCUCCACUGCAGUUUUUCUGAUCAAUCGCUUACCAACACCGCAGCUUGAUAAUCUGUCUCCCUAUGAGAAGCUCCUUCACCGUUCACCAGACUACAAAUUUCUCAAAAGCUUUGGAUGUGCUUGCUUUCCCCACCUGGUGCCAUACAACAAGCAUAAGUUAUCUUUUAAAUCUCUUCCAUGUGUAUUUCUUGGUUAUGAUGAUCACUAUAAGGGUUAUCGCUGUCUUGAUCCUUUUUCAGGUCGCAUCUAUACGUCUCGGAAUGUGACCUUUGAUGAAACAACCUUCCCUUACAAGCAGCCCCAGCUUCCAUCUCCUUUGCCCUCAAAUGGGAUUCAACCUCUUGCCGACCAGCCCAUAUCUCUUGGGCCCUCUAAUCCUCUGGUCAGCCCUUCUCCCUCAUAUCCCUCAUCUCUUAAUCCCACAGGCCCAUCACUUCCCCCUAUUUCUUCUGACCCUAUUAGCUCCCCCCAUUCCUUCGACACCCCCUUGUUCUCCCCUCUGUCCUCCUCUGUAUCCCCAACAACACUGACCACGAACCCAGCCGAUCCUUCUCUGGUAUCAAACAUCCCCCAUUCGCCGCCUCUUUCCACUGAAACCUCGCCGCCUCUUUCCACAGAACCCUCGCUGCCCAUUUCCACAGAAACCUCGCCGCGCCUUUCCACAGACCCAUCGCCCUCACUUUCCCCAGACCUAUCCUUCGACUCUGACGGAACAACCCCACCCCUUACCCCACCUCCCCCUUCUUCACCUCUUGAUCCAUCGAUUUUCCCUAACUCUCCAGAUACACCCAAUCCUCCACAAAAAUUCAAGAGUCUCCAAACCAUUGUCCCAUUUGGCCCAGAACCCAAACCCCUCUACUCUAAAACCAGCCCUCAUCCCUUACCCCUUGCCCUUUCUGCUGAAGCUUCUGAUCCCCUAUCCCUUGAACCUACCAGCUUUACCCAUGCUUCCAAACACAGCCACUGGCUCGAUGCUAUGCACGAUGAAUAUGCUGCACUCAUGAAGAACCAGACCUGGUCCUUAGUUCCUGCCACCUCCCGCAUGAAUAUUGUGGGGUGCAAGUGGGUCUUCAAAAUUAAACGGAGGGCAGAUGGCUCAAUUGACAGAUACAAGGCUCGUCUUGUUGCCAAGGGAUUCAAUCAGAAGGAAGGCUUUGAUUAUGCGGAAACUUUUAGCCCGGUGGUCAAACCGGCUACCAUUCGCACUAUAUUGUCUCUGGCACUUUCCUACCAUUGGCCUCUUCAACAAUUGGAUGUUCGUAAUGCCUUCUUGAAUGGGUACUUGCAAGAGGAGGUCUACAUGAAACAACCCCCUGGUUUUCAUGAUCCCUCUCACCCUCAGUAUGUUUGUCGGCUCCACAAGGCUCUGUACGGCCUUAAGCAGGCACCUCGAGCUUGGUUCCAACGUCUUAGUGCCUUUCUCCUUGCCCAGCACUUUGUUCACAGUCACUCUGAUGUAUCGCUCUUUAUUCGUCGCUCCUCUUCCUGCACAGUGUAUGUUCUAGUGUAUGUGGAUGACAUCAUUGUUACUGGCUCUCCCUCACCAAGUGUAAACCACUUCAUUGAUCAACUAUGUUCAACUUUUGACAGCCGCCGUAUGGGUGAGCUAAACUUCUUCCUUGGCAUGGAAAUUAAUCGGUUUUCUGACCAUUUAUUUCUCUCUCAGACUCGCUAUGCAGUGGAUUUAUUGACCCGGUUUCAUUUGACUGAAUGCAAACCAUCUCCUACCCCUUUGCCCUCUGACACUCGGCUCUCUUGUCUGGAUGGUGAUCCCUUGCCUGAUCCAUCCACCUAUCGGAGUAUGGUGGGUGGCCUCCAGUAUCUUACCUUGUCCAGACCUGAUAUUUCCUUCGCUGUCAACCAGGUGUGCCAGUUUAUGCACAACCCUCGAACCUCUCAUCUUCAGGUUGUCAAGCGCAUUUUUCGGUACAUUAAAGGCACACUUGAGCAAGGUCUUAUCUUCCAUAAGUCCACUGAUUUUUCCUUACGGAGUUUCUCUGACGCUGAUUGGGCUGGUUCUGUUGAUGAUCGCCGGUCUACUACUGGUGCUUGUGUUUUCCUUGGCCCCAAUCUUCUCACAUGGACUGCCAAGAAACAGUCUACUAUUUCUCGCUCUAGUACUGAAGCUGAAUAUAGAGCUCUUGCACAUACUGCAGCCGAACUUCGCUGGUUUUGUUACUUGUUUCGUGAACUGGGCAUUCCCCUUCGCUCUGCCCCCUGCAUCUAUGUUGACAAUCUCUCUGCUCUCUAUAUGGCUGCCAACCCUAUUUUUCAUGCUCGCACCCGGCAUAUCGAGAUCGACUACCACUUUGUUCGUGAAUUAGUUGCUCGAAAUGCUCUUCGUACCUCCUAUGUUCCUUCCUCUGAUCAGCUUGCUGACAUAUUUACUAAAGGUCUCGGUCGUGAUCGGUUUUCACUUCUAAAAUCCAAGCUUAAUCUCCGCGUUGCUCCGCUACGCUUGAGGGAGGGUAAAGAGAAUAUCACUCCGGUUCAUCCCAGGAAAUCAGUUGAUUUCCCCAAAUCAGACUUGACAGAUUCUUCCUCCCAAGAUCAACGACAUAUUAGCUAGAAUUGAUUCAUAACAUAUAUGAGAUUAUUGUACUUACCAUGUAUUGCUUAUUUCUGUAAAUAGACUUGAGAAAGUCUACUCUCUGUACAUUAUAUACGGCUGCAAUACAGAGACCAAAUACACUGGUUGAUUCAAUUACUCUCCUCCUCUAUCUCUCAUCUCUCUUCUCCCCCCUGAACUCUGUUUCUUAUAAGUAGCAAUCUGUGUGUCCAAUUCCAAAAGGGUAGCGGAUCAAGACGCCUCCGCAUUUCUCUUUGCAGGCCGGGGCUUACUUUCGGAUAAUAAACUUCUUGUGCUGCAGCUGCUGCACAUGUAUAUAAGAUCAACAACACGAGGAAUAUUAAUAACGAAAUCAACAUAUGAACUGCUUGCGAUUGCAUUGUUCCUAUGCUCGGAUAAUAAAAAGUAAGAAAUUAUCAAGCAAAAGUUUUCUUUGCAACUUAAUGCUAACGUCUCGUCUAAAGAUUUUCUCGAGUGAUCUAAUCAUAAUUAAUGUUUAUAUAUCCGGUGAUUAUUGGGGGUAGAUUUUGGAAUGGAGUGGCUGCCUGCAUUUUGGGCAGCUGCUGGGCAGUGAUCCAUGACUUUUAUGAGUGAAGUCCAGCCCAUGACCUUUUUUUUAAAGAAUAAACAGAGCAAGUUACUAUUUGCUUUCAUGUGGCAAGCAAAAGCAUUUUACUUUCUUUCGAAACGAUGUCAUUAAUUCAUCACACAAACUAUCUUUUGUUUUUUAAAGCAUUUACAAUCAUACUCUUUAUUUUUUAUUUAAAAUUUAGCUAAAACAUAAAAAGCGGUAAGUUUUCUUUCGCGACUAUACGUUUCGUCGCGCAAGUUUUUGGCGCCAAUAAAAAUAACCCCGAGUUUUUCCAGCUAACUUUACGCAACGAUAACCAGUACUGUCGCGCUAAGUAAUCAUAAGCGACGAUAUGUGUCGUCGCGCAAGUUUAGCAAUAGUCUGUGCUACACAUGCAUUUUUUGGUCGCGCAAGGAUUUCUUGUGCGACGAAAAUUAUUUGUCACACAAAAUAUCGUUGCGCAAAGGGUAAAACGUAGUAGUGGUACUCACAUUCUGACCGGAAAAGUUCAGAAAAGGAGCAACACAUAACAUAUAUGGAACAUGCAUUACAAUAUUACAAUUAAUGUUCACCAUGACUUGUAAGGUAAUAGCGGAAUUUCAUGUAAUGAUGAAGAAGGACCACCAUCCAAAACUGGGCCUGUUCCCGUUGAACUUGAAGCAACAUCCCAAGGCUCAAUUGAGCCAGUCCUAACAUAUUCAACCUCUUCAUAGUUUUGUCCACCAUUAGAAGUUUUUUUUCUGACAUUUGAAUCCCCUCCAGCUUUGCCGUGACCUCUCUCAUUGUAGGGCGCUUUCUUCCACUCAAAUUCAAACAUCUUCUUGCAAGGUUAGCAACUAAUAUGAUAUCCGCUUUAGACCCUUCUUUUACAACUUCAGCAUCAAGAAUUUCGAACAGGCGAUCUAACUGCAUCGAAGUAAUGAAGUAUGUGGCAAGACUUUUGCAGAUCUUCUUGUGACCUUCUAAAAGAAAUUGGUUUUUGCCCUAUCAAGAGCUCAACAAGGACAACUCCAAAGCUAUACACGUCACUUUUCUCCGUAAAUUGGCUUGAUUGAAAGUAUUCGGGGUCCAAGUAACCAAAUGUAACAUCCCACAUCAACCAACAGAGAGGGGGUGACGUGCCUUAUAUGUACAUGUUCUCCUCCAUCGAGCACAAGGCCUUUUGGGAGCUCAUUGGCUUCGGAGUCAUAGGAACUCCGAAGUUAAACGAGUUUGGGCUAGAGCAAUCUCAGAAUGGGUGACCCACUGGGAAGUUGCUCAUGAGUUCCCAGAAACAAAACCGUGAGGGCAGAGAGAGGGGCCCAAAGUGGAUAAUAUCGUACUAUGACGGAGCCGAUCCAGGGAUGUGACACCAAAUGUGCCGUGUACAAGUGUGGUGAGGUGAGUUAGGUCAAUGGCAUUGGCAACAGAUCUUGAAGUUCCGAAGUCAGCUACUUUUACCUUGUAUUUUGCAUCCAAGAGUAUGUUGGUAGACUUGAUGUCUCUAUGAAAAAUGGGAAAGGCAGCUGAAGCAUGUAAGUAGGAAAGAGCUCCUGCAAUUUCCAUGGCAAUUCGUAAGUGAACUUCCCAUGUAAGUGGACACUGCUAAAAUAUGAAAACUAUGAGAGAAUAUUUGUUUGUGGAAAUUUUCUGUAUAUUCUUCUCCUUGUAGGAGGUCAUAUUUAUAAUACAACGAAACCUGAAUGGGCAAGUAAAUAAUAAAUUCCUAAAUCUAUUUACAGUAGGAAAUCAAGAAUUAAAGUAAAUCAAUUACAAUUAUAAUAGGAAUUCUUGGUGUGUAAGGAAAGUAAGUCAACAUCCACAAGUCACGCCAACACUCCCCCUCACGUUGGUGCAUAGAUGUCGCCAAUGCCCAACUGAUCCAGUGAAUUGUGGAAUGCUUUACUGGAAAUCGCCUUUGUCAAAAUAUCUGCCAAUUGAUCCUCGGAUUUCACAAAAGGAAACUGAAACACUUUAGCCUCAAACUUCUGUUUGAUGAAGUGUCGAUCCACCUCAACAUGUUUAGUACGAUCAUGCUGAACCGGAUUCUGUGCAAUGGCUAUAGCAGCCUUGUUGUCACAAAAGAGAUUCAUUGUGGAUGUAGGUUUAUACCCGAGUUCAAUAAGCAACUUUCUUAACCAAAGAAGUUCACAAAUCCCUUUAGUCAUGCCUCUGAACUCGGCUUCUGCACUGGAUAAAGCUACUACAUUCUGUUUCUUGCUCCUCCAUGUCACUAAAUUACCUCCCACGAAUGUGAAGUAACCCGAUGUGGAUUUUCUAUGUGUUACAUUACCUGCCCAAUCUGCAUCUGAAUAACCAUCAAUAUUUAGAUGACCAUGCUUUGAGAACAUAAGUCCUUUUCCAGGUGCAGACUUCAAAUAUCUAAGUAUCCGAAGAACUGCAUUCAUGUGGUCUUCACUUGGAGAGUGCAUAAAUUGACUGACAACGCUCACCGCAUAAGCAAUGUCUGGUCGAGUAUGUGACAAAUAGAUCAAUCUUCCUACUAACCUUUGGUAUCUUUCUUUGUUAGUUGGAACUUGAUCCAGAUAUUCUCCAAGAUGAUGAUUCUGAACAAUAGGAGUGUCCGUAGGUUUACAAUCUAGCAUUCCUGUGUCUGUCAACAAGUCCAAGACAUAUUUCCUUUGAGAGAGAAAUAUGCCUUGCUGCGAUCGAGCCACCUCAAUUCCCAAGAAAUACUUGAGUCCACCUAGAUCCUUUAUCUCAAACUCCGUAGCCAGAUAGUCUUGUAGCUGUGAUAUUUCUUGUUUAUCAUUCCCAGUAAUAAUCAUAUCAUCAACAUAGAUUAUUAAUGCUGUUACCUUCCCUUUUCGAUGUUUCAAGAAUAGAGUAUGAUCUGAGUUGCACUGUUUGAAACCAUUGUUCUUCAUUGCCAUGGUGAACCGUCCAAACCAUGCACGUGGUUGUUGUGCGGAAGCGUCAACCAACUGUGAGUGAAAAAUAAACAACUACUGGCAGGAGAAAAAAAAAUUGAAUAAUUGAACAGAAAAUUACAACAAGAAGAACACCAAGAUUUAUACUGGUUCGGCAAUUGCCUACAUCCAGUUUGGAGACGACGGAGUAUUCCUCUAUAAUCAAUGGGGAUAUACAAUAGUGUUUACCACUCAAUUUCCCAAAGACCCAAAUACACCCAACCUUACACACUCACAAAGGAAGAGAAAACAAUGAUACAAAGCAAAGAACAACUAGAGAGAAUUUGUUUCUCUCUUUGGCAAAAUGCCUUUCUUGCUAUUUUUCUCUUCUACUCAACACUUGGUUGGGUUCACCAAAUGAAACCAUUUGCUUCCAAUUUAUAGCCAAAGGAAGUGGCUUCUCAAAGAAGCCAAAGGUUAGGCAAGUCAACAAUAGCCUACCACCAUUUCUGAAAGCUAAUUAAUACAUUCCCAUUGCAACUUGUCAAUCACUUUUGACUAUUGUAAAAGCCAAUUAAUGCAUUCACAUUGCAACUUGUCAAUUUGCCAUCACUUUUGACUAUUGUAAAAGCCAAUUAAUCAUCACUUUUGACUAUUGGUUUGAGGCAAUAAUCAACAAUCUCCACCUUGGCUCAAACCCUCGAAGUAGAACUCCCAAUAGUCGUCUCCCAAUCCCCUAUGGGGCAAUCAACAAAUUUUACAAAUGCCAAUUAAGUCUAAGCAGUGCUUAAACUUGAGCAACGAAACUGGCUUUGUCAACAUAUCCGCAGGAUUGUCAGCAGUCCCAAUCUUCUGAAGAAGAAUAUAUCCCUCUUCAAUAAUCUCACGAACAAAAUGGAACCUUACGUCAAUGUGUUUUGUACGUGCAUGAUGAACUUGAUUCUUUGCUAAAUAAAUAGCACUCUGACUGUCACAAUGAACAUCCACAUGGUCUUGUUGGACCCCCAAGUCAUCAAGCAACCCUUUAAGCCAGAUGGCUUCCUUUAUAGCUUCUGUUACCGCCAUGUAUUCUGCCUCAGUAGUCGACAAAGCAACUGUAGAUUGCAGAAUCGACCUCCAACUCACUGGACCUCCAGCAAUAGUGAAUACAAAACCUGUAGUGGACCUACGCUUGUCCAAAUCUCCUGCGUAAUCAGAAUCCACAUAUCCAACAACACAUUGACCAGUAACUUUAUCUUGCUGAAACAAUAAACCAACACCUACAGUACCCAGAAUAUAUCGCAGAAUCCAUUUCACAGCUUGCCAAUGCCCUUUUCCUGGAUUAUGCAUAUAUCUACUGACAAUACUAACAGCUUGUGAAAUAUCAGGCCUUGUACACACCAUAGCAUACAUCAAACUACAAACAGCACUUGCAUAUGGAAUUUGAGCCAUGUAAUGACUCUCUUCACCAGUUUUAGGAGACAUAGAAGCACUAAGUUUGAAAUGAGGGGCAAGAGGUGUACUAACCGGCUUUGAAUUUUCAUUCAUCCCAAAACGUUGUAGUACCUUCUUCAAAUACUGCUUUUGACACAGACUAAUCUUGCCCUUCGCUCUGUCUCUUUCAAUUUCCAUACCCAGUAUCUUCCGAGCUUCUCCCAGGUCCUUCAUCUCAAAUUCAUUACUCAGUUGAGUCUUCAACCUUUCAAUCUCCACUUUGCUUUUACAUGCUAUAAGCAUAUCAUCAACAUAUAAAAGCAGAUAGAUGAAGGUUCCAUCUUGUAGUUUGCGAAAGUAUACACAAUGGUCAUAAUGACUCCUUGUGUAUUUAUACCCGAUCAUAAACCGAUCAAAUCGCUUGUACCAUUGUCUUGGAGACUGCUUCAAGCCGUACAAUGAUUUUUGCAAUUUGCAAACCCAAUUUUCUUUUCCAGCAACUUUAAAACCUUCUGGCUGAGACAUAUAAAUUUCUUCCUCCAAAUCACCAUGUAAGAAUGCAGUCUUGACAUCAAGUUGAGCCAACUCAAGGUCAAACUGUGCAACCAAAGCCAACAGAAUACGAAUAGAGGAAUGUUUUACUACAGGAGAAAAUACCUCAUUGUAGUCAAUGCCUUCCUUCUGAGCAUAGCCUUUAGCUACCAAUCUGGCUUUGAAUCUUACAUUGUCUUUUCUCAAAGAUUCCAUCUUUUUGGCAUAAACCCAUUUGCAACCAAUUGCUUUCUUCCCCUUUAGUAACUGAACCAGCUUCCAAGUCUCAUUUUUAUGAAGAGACUUCAUCUCCUCAUCCAUAGAUUUCUUCCACUCCAAGCUCUCUGAACUUCUGACAGCUUCUUUGUAGGCGGAUGGAAUAUCAUCUUCAAUAACGGGAAGUGCAUAUGCCACAAUAUCAGUAAACCGAGCAGGCUUUCGAAUUUCCCUUCUCGAUCUUCUGGUUGCAAUAGAAUCUUGUUGCUGUGGAGGCUCUUGGGUAGGUGCCUCCUCUUCAUCAUCGUUGUCCUCAUCAUCAUAAUCAACUGUAGGACUAGUGUCUGUAGUAUCAGACCUUACUGGAACAACUGGAGUUUUCAGUAACUCCACCUGCUUUGAACUACUCAUGGUCUUAGUUGCUUCAAUUUCACCUUCAUGCUUGUUCUGAUUUACCAUAGCAGCCUCAUCAAAAGUCACAUCUCUGCUUACAACAAAUUUCUUCUCAUCUGGACACCUCAUCCAGUUUCACCUCGGAUUUUCCAUACAACAAAGUAGUUUUCAAAUGAUCAUAAUCAUCAGGCAAUGAAUUUAACAAACAUAGUGUCUUAUCCUCGUCAGGAAUUAUCACAUCAAGAUUUGCUAAAUCAGCCAGUAUUUUAUUAUAAUAAUUGAGGUGUUCAUGCAUAGAAAUACCUAAACGAUAUUGAAAUCGGAAGAGUCGUUUCUUCAAGAAGAGCCGAUUUUCUGCGCUCUUGGUCAUAUACUUCUCCUCCAAUUUCAUCCAUAACUUCUUAGCAGAAGUUUCCUUCAUAUACGGGUAUUUCAACUCUUUAUCAAGGAAUGAUCGAAUAGUGGCACAAGCAUGGAGAUUAAUUCGCGUCCACUGCUUGUCAUCAAUAUCUUCGGGUUUAUCCUCCAGAACCAUAUCCAGCUCUUGUUGAUACAACACAUCCAUAACUUCACAUUGCCACAUACCAAAAUUAUUAGAGCCAUUGAAUUUAUCAACCUCUAACCUUGUCGUGGCAAUUGGAUGUCUAUUGGAUGUAGGUGCCGACGACGACAAUGCCGACUCCUUCUCCUUCAAAACUUCGUCUUUUUCUCCAGCCAUCAAAUCUGCCUGGUACUAUUCAUGGGACUGUAGCAGAGCACUAUUCACGGGGGUACUGUUCACAGUACUGUAGCACCAGCAAAUUUUUCACUCCUACGAGACCCCAGUCGAAAACCUGGAGCUCUGAUACCACUUGUUGUGCGGAAGUGUCAACCAACUGUGAGUGAAAAAUAAACAACUACUGGCAGGAGAAAAAAAAAUUGAAUAAUUGAACAGAAAAUUACAACAGGAAGAACACCAAGAUUUAUACUGGUUCGGCAAUUGCCUACAUCCAGUUUGGAGACGACGGAGUAUUCCUCUAUAAUCAAUGGGGAUAUACAAUAGUGUUUACCACUCAAUUUCCCAAAGACCCAAAUACACCCAACCUUACACACUCACAAAGGAAGAGAAAACAAUGAUACAAAGCAAAGAACAACUAGAGAGAAUUUGUUUCUCUCUUUGGCAAAAUGCCUUUCUUGCUAUUUUUCUCUUCUACUCAACACUUGGUUGGGUUCACCAAAUGAAACCAUUUGCUUCCAAUUUAUAGCCAAAGGAAGUGGCUUCUCAAAGAAGCCAAAGGUUAGGCAAGUCAACAAUAGCCUACCACCAUUUCUGAAAGCUAAUUAAUGCAUUCCCAUUGCAACUUGUCAAUCACUUUUGACUAUUGUAAAAGCCAAUUAAUGCAUUCACAUUGCAACUUGUCAAUUUGCCAUCACUUUUGACUAUUGUAAAAGCCAAUUAAUCAUCACUUUUGACUAUUGGUUUGAGGCAAUAAUCAACAGUGGUGACUGUUUCAAUCCAUACAAUGCUUUUCGUAACCUGCAAACUGUUCCAGUCUAAGUAGUAUUAUAUCUAAGAGGAAUGUCCAUGUACACCUCCUCUGUGAGUUCGCCAUGUAGAAAAGCAUUCUUUACAUCAAACUGGUGUAGUGGCCAAUCCAAAUUAGCUGCAAGGGACAAUAAGACUCUGACGGUGUUUAACUUUGCAACUGGUGCAAAAUUUUCUUCAUAGUCUAUAUCAUAGGUCUGUGUGUACCCUUUUGCCACAAGUCUUGCCUUGUAUGGCUCGAUAGAUCCAUCUGCAUUGUGUUUUAUAGUAAACACCUAUCUACAUCCGAUAGUCUUUUUUCCUCGUGGUAUAGUCUCCAAUGUCCAAGUCUGAUUUUUCUCAAGAGCUUUCAUCUCCUCUUUUAUAGCUUGGAACCACUUAGGAUCUUUCAAUGCUUCAGAAACCUUGGUUGGAAUAUGGAUAGCAGACAACUGAUGCACAAAAGCCUUGAGUGGUUCAGACAGCUUCUCAGUGGAUACAUGAUUUGCAAUUAGAUACUUGGAUGUCUUGCCAAUAUCAGGUGAAUAACGGUUUGGUGGCUUCCCACGAUUUUGCCUGAAAGGUAAUUGAUAUCCAAUAGUUUUAUCAUCUAAAUGCACAAGUCUAGUAGGAGUAGUUACCUCAAGGAUAUUCUCAGGAGAUUGGUCUGUUGGUACUGUUGAGUUAGAAGGGGGUCUUCAUCUUGUUGUUCUGUAUUGUCUGUAGGUGUGAGACUUGGAUCAGAAAUAUCUUCGCAUGGAUCAGGUGGGUCAGGCAAUUGAUCGCUAUGAAUGGGCGAUUGGUCGCUUUUCAACAGAGAGUAAUCUCGUGCUCCAGACUCGGGAUGAUCAAUCAUUUCUGUAUAUAGGAGAAUUUCUUUGUUUUCCAAGUUGCUCCAAUUCUGCUCUUCACUUCGUAUCUCCCCCUGAAGUGCAGAAUUGGAUGAUGGGUCAUGAAAGAACAGCUCAGAUUUCAAAAAGGUCACAUCCAAAGUGACAUAGGUUCGUUGGGUAGGAGGGUGAUAGCGAUAACCUUUCUGAUGAGUGGCAUAACCCACAAAAACACAACGAAGCGCACAGGGAUCAAGUUUGCUACGUUGAUUUUUGUGGAGAUGAACGAAAGCCACACAUCCAAAGAUUCGGGGUGUGAGUACCAAAACAGAGAGCAGAGGUCGGUGUUGCGCAAGCACCUGUAAGGGAGUUUUAAAGGUCAAUACACCAGAAGGCAUGCGGUUGAUCAGGUGAACUGCAGUGACAAUAGCAUCAUCCUAGUGAUGGCGAGGAACAUGAGCGCCAAUCAAAAGUGCUCGGGCGGUUUCAAGAAGAUGUCGAUUCUUUCGUUCAGCAACACCAUUUUGUUGUGGUGUUUGAGGACAAGUUGUCUCAUGAAUAAUUCCAUAUUGUUGGAAGUAAGUCUGAAAGUCAUGAUUGACAAAUUCUCCACCAUUGUCUGAGCGAAGAAUCUGGAUUUGAGCAUUAAACUGAGUUUUCAUCUGUUUGUGGAAGGACUGAAACGGGAAAACACUUCGUUUUUAUUCUUCAGCAAAUAAAGCCAUGUCAUUCGUGUACAAUCAUCGAUGAAUGUGACAAACCAUCGAACACCAGAAGGAGCAGUGAUAGGCGAAGGUCCCCAGACAUCAGAGUGAAUUAACGUAAAUGGAGUAGUACACUUGUUCGUACUCAACGGGUAGGGAACCCGGUGACUCUUGGCCAAAAUACAAGUAUCACAUGUGAAGUCGGAGUCUUUGAAACCUGAAAAUAAAUCUGGUAUAAGAUGCUUCAUAUAACUAAAAGACGGAUGUCCCAAUCGACGAUGCCACAACCAGAUUUGCUUUUGUUUGCUAUCAAAGGGAUGUGUCACACUAUUAGCCACGCCGGGACUGAAGUCAUCGACAUAAUAUAGCCCCCCUCUCUUAGUACCACGACCAAGAAUCUCCUUAGUGUGAAUAUCUUGAAGCAAACAAAAACUCGGGUAAAUGAGUACACAACAAUUCAAUUGUUCAGUAAACUGACUAACUGACAACAAUUUAGUGGAUAAAGAUGGAACAAGUAAAGUAUUAGACAGGGUGAGAGAGGAUGAGAGUGCAACAGUGCCAGCCCCUGUCACAGGAUAAGUAACACCAUUGGCAUUUGCAAUACAGGUUCGUCGAGGUUGGGUAGUAUUCAGAAAAUCAUCAGGGUCAAACGUCAUAUGAUCAGUUGCACCAGAAUCAAUUAUCCAGCUCUUGGAAUCAAUCUUAUUGGAAGUAUGGAAUCCAUAACCAGUACCAUUACUGUUCAUAUUGCAUUGUCCUCGAUCUGUAAGAGUAGCCCACCAAUCGGGGUAGCCAUGCGAUUUAAAACAAGUCUGUGUCUCGGAUCACCACAAUAUGCGCAAUUUGGUCCAUGUGUCUGGGUCGUUAGUCUAGAAGUCAUAAUCUGUGCAAUGGAAGAUGCAUAGGAUACAAGUUGAGUAAGAAUUUAGAUCGGAAUCUGAGCCUGAGUCGGGGCCGGAGUCGGAGUCGAAAUUGGGAUCGGGGUCUGAAUCAGAGACAAAUUCGGGGUUGGGGUCAUCAUCGGAGUGGGGGUCGGGGUCGGGGUCGUCGUCGUCGUCAUCAUAGUCGGGGUCGGGGUCGGGGUCGUCAAAAGAGGAUCCUGAUUCUGGAUCGGGUUCGGGGUCAAAGUCUGCAUCUGUAGGGGCGGAGCCAUCUGGGCACUCAACUCAACAAUGGUUGGUUGAGAAUGAGAGAAGGAGUCGGUGGUGCUACCUCCAUGAGGGUUGAAAAAAAUCAUCAACCCCCAUAGCGGCGGCGGGGGUUUGAAACUAGAGUCAGCAAUUCCAAGAUCGCCGCUCCGAUACCAUGCUAAAAUAUGAAAACUAUGAGAGAAUAUUUGUUUGUGGAAAUUUUCUGUAUAUUCUUCUCCUUGUAGGAGGUCAUAUUUAUAAUACAAUGAAACCUGAAUGGGCAAGUAAAUAAUAAAUUCCUAAAUCUAUUUACAGUAGGAAAUCAAGAAUUAAAGUAAAUCAAUUACAAUUAUAAUAGAAAUUCUUGGUGUGUAAGGAAAGUAAAUCAAUAUCCACAAGUCACGCCAACAGAAACUCCUCAUUCUGCUCAUGGAUAUACUGGGAAAGGUUUCCAUUAGGUAUAAAUUCAUAAACCAAAAUGGGAACCUCCGUCUCUAAACAGCAACCCAAUAGUUGAACGACAUUUCUGUGGUUGAUUUGUGAAAGAAUGACAACCUCAUUGAUGAAAUCUGAAAGUUGGCUUUCGUCCACUAUUUUAGAUUUUUUCACAGCAACAAUUCUUCCAUCCGUCAGCAUGCCUUUAUAAACAGUGCCUUGGCCUCCCUGGCCAAGAAUUCUAUCAAUAUUGAAAUUGUCAGUGGACUUCUCCAACUCCUUUGAUUUGAAUAGCUUGAUUUUCUCAACAUUAACUUCACCGGACGACAAUUGUUUCUUUAAUAAUAAUCCACCAUUUCGUUUGAAGAACAUCUCCCUGCGUUUCAUGGUAUGGCUUUUCUUUAGGAAUCUGUAUCCCAGCCAUGCACCGAUAAGCAAAAGUAACAGUCCAAGACCCGCACCAAGACCUGCGUAUAUAACUCAGUAAAAUGAUAAAUGAUCACAAAUUGCAAACCAAGUUUAUGUCUUGUGCCCAUAAAAUAAAAUAAAAUAAACUGUUGAUGGCAAUAUACAAAAGAGUUUGUCUAAAAUUCCUCUUGACCCUUAGGCAGAGGGUGUUGCCAUAGGGAUCUGUUAUCUUGUGUGGAUAAAAUUACCAACAGAAAAUGCUUGGGCCGGAAUCAUUCCCUCUGUUUCCUCCUCUGUUUCUUCUCUGUUUCUUCCUCUGUUUCCAAGUUGUUGUUUGCUAAGAAGGAUCCACCACAUACAACUUGCUUUCUUACUCAAAAAGGGACUGUGGAGUUUGCAAUGCCAAUUGAUUAUUAUCCAACCCAAUAUAUGUAAUCAAAAUGAUGAAAUUGAAAAGUAAAAGAUUCUCAAAUGAAAAUUUUCUUUGCAACUUAGUCUUCACGAUGGGGGAAAAAAAGGACCAGGACAAAUUGAAGGGUACUUAUCUUUUGGUAACGUGUUUCUCCUGAUCCAGCUAUAAUUUUUUUUUUAAAAUUCCUCAAAUGACAAAGUUGGUCUUUGAAAUUAGAUUGCAUAUAAUGUCACCCUCCCAGUACGUGAGAAAAGUAAAAUAAAAUAAAAAGAAGCUGAAACAUGAGUUUAAAAUAAAUUUCUCUUAUAAAAAUAGAUCCAAAAUCAUACAGCUUUACAAUAAAGAAAUAAAGCUCUAUCACUCUCAUCUAAUUCAGCCUCAACUAGUUUAGUCCUUGUCUUGCCAACUAAUUCAUCUGAAAAAUUAAACAUGGUGAGGGAUGAGCAACCACUGCUCAGUGAGUACAUUAUGUAAUAUGUCAGUCAAGCAAUGCCGUUUUACACACUCUAGAAAAUAUCAUGAAAAGAUACACCAAUCCAGAUCAUAUCACAUCAUCCCUUCAUAUCUUGGUUAUCCUUCAUAGCAUGUAACCAACCACGUGACCCCUAUUGGCCUCACUGCCCUAUGUCCCCGUGUGGUACAUCUAUCCCUCAGAUACCCCAACAUUGAAGUUCUCAUGUUCCAUGAAUAAUACAUACUUCACAAAUAUUCCAGUCAAUAUAUAUAUACCAGGAAUUCGAUUUUGAUGUGUGUUUAGGGUGAAUUUGGUUAAGAAUAAACCAAGGAUUCAAAUUUGGUUGCUGUUCCGUCUAUUGAGAUGCUAGACUGCCUACGUACCCUUGAUGGGAUCAAACCAACGUAGUUCGGAAUUCAUUUGUGUGAAGAUGGAUAUUUGAUUUGUGGGAAUUUGGUUGAUGUAACCAGUGAUUCAAAUUUGGUUGCGGUUGUGUCUAUUAAGAUGCUAGACUGCCUACAUACCCUUAAUAGGAGCAAACCGAUGUAGUUCCAAAUUGAUUUGGAAAUUAAUGGGUAAAUGUGACCCAUUUAAGGACCCGCCCCGAAUUUUCUCAAAACCCAAGACAAACCCUUUGGAAUUCCUGACAUCACUCCGAUGUCAGACCCAAUCACUAAAGACCGAGACUUCCUGCCGAAAUUUCGGCAGAGUCUCCCCUAUAAAUUAGACAUUUCCCAAAAUUUCAACCUGCAUAAAAACGCAUUUAAUAUCACCAACGGGCAGCAUGCACAAUAUAUUUUCAUGCAAUUCACACAAAUUGCCUUCGGCCUUCCAAUAAUUCUUAACCGAUUACCAAACAAUUCAAAUACCAAAUAUGACUAAUAUUUAGUCUGCGGCUGCGCCUAAUAACCUUAGGCUGCCUACGUACCCUCCUUGAGGGAUCAAGCCACACGUAGUUCUUCCCUAAAACCCAAUUCCGCACAUCGGUGAUACCUUAUUUCCUUUCUCUGCAUUUCACAUAUUCUCCCCAUACGCCGGUACAACCAACGCCACGUAUGGGGCCUGUCAACACGCCGGAUAACCUACGCCACGUGCGACCAUGCCAUACUAUCAUUAUAUCUCCCCAUACGCCGGUACAACCAACGCCACGUAUGGGGUCUGUCUCAACGCCGGAUAACCUACGCCACGUGAGACCUGCACAUCAUAUCACAUAACUCCCCAUACGCCGGUACAACCAACGCCACGUAUGGGGCCUGUCCCAACGCCGGAUAACCUACGCCACGCGGGACCUCAACAUCAUAUCACAUAAUCUCCCCGUACGCCGGUACAACCAACGCCACGUACGGGGCCUGUCUCAACGCCGGAUAACCUACGCCACGUGAGACCUGAACAUCAUAUUGCAAAUCUCCCCAUACGCCGAUACAACCAACGCCACGUAUGGGGUCUGUCCCAACGCCGGAUAACAAACGCCACGCGGGACCUAACUUUCACUUGAUGGUGCUUGUAGCGAAUCCAAAAUCCGAGGAGGUACCUAAAGUAGUGCGUAUAGCACUCCAAACUGACAUUCUAGACUCUGUUGUACCCUUGUACAACCAUAUAUGUUUAUAAUUAUAUAAAUUAAUUCUAAUAUUGUGUAACCCUCCACAAUAGCCUAGCACCCGAUAAUCUCCCCUGGAGAGGUGAGAUUACUCCGGGUAGCUCACGGUCAACCAAGGGUCAAACUACUCUAACCCUGGUCAAACGGGCCUGCGGAACCCACGACCUCCAAUUUCCGAUCCGGAAGUCCCUAUGGGUUCUACCAGGUAUAGGACACUUGUCCUGCGAGUUUGGUUCAGAUCGGACGGUCGGAUUAUUCACGAUCGCACGAUCUGACAAUUAAUAUAAAAUAUAAACUUUAAAAUUAUUAUUCGGAACAUCCGGGGCUCCGAUUCACGAUCCGUGAAAUCCUACACGAUCCUAGAAAUACCUAGAUCAACAUAUAUUAAAUUUGGGACCAUCCAACGGUCCCAACCUAUCGAACUCGGAUAACGCGUAAUAUGCGAAUAUCCGUUCGAUAGUCAAACGACGUCCGAAUUGAGAUCCGCGAAAUCCUACGCACUCGUGACAACCUAAGGAUCUCAUCGGAACACAUCGCUACUUUUUCUACAGUGCCACGCGCCGCCGCACGCGCUGGCAGCGCGUGGGUGCCCAAAGCGAUAACGCUUCGCCGGGAAAAUCUUAAAACCACGGCUCCAAACUCCUACCCUAGGUAUAACACCCUAUUUGGAGCCACUUUUGUUCUUGGACCUACCCCAAAAAGUGGCCGGAAAUGGCCGAUCACGGCGGCCGAAGUUCGGCAGAUUUUCAAUUCGAAAAUCGAGUGAUUUAGAGGUAAAAUCGAUCAAAACCCAGCCAACCAUCAGUUAGAGCAUGAAAAAUAGCUGAGAAACCAUACCUUACUCGAACGAUUUGGUUGAGAAACGAAGGAGAUCGAGGAGCUUGAAGUUUCGACUGGAAACCGGCAGUUUUCUGCAUUUUCCGGCCAGCACAGGCCGCGUCGCCGGCGGGGAAAUGUCGGAGAAGGAAGAGGACGUCGUCCCGGUCGUUUUGGUACCGGCCCCGCCCACAGCCGUGAUCGGUGGCCGGAGAUACGAGGAGAGAGAGGGAGAGAGCCGACGGGAGAGAGAGAGAGGUCGCGAGAGAGAGAGAGAGAGAGAGAGAGAAAAAUCUGAGUUUUUAUAAAAAUCCCAUUUCGAAAUAUUUACGAUUGUGCCACUGGGUUUCUUUUGACCAUAUCUCUCUCGUUACAACUCCGAUUCGAGCCCACUACGUGUCUAUGAACUCGUCUCGGUACGACCUAUCUAAAAAUACAAGUCGCGGUCCCAAACUCUCUCCGGUUAAAAAUAUGACUAAAAUACCCUUAAAUAAUUAAAUAAUUAAAUGAGGGUUAAAUUUGGGGUCAGGGUGUUACAACCCACUAAUUAAGAAUUUGUGUCUUUGAGACAAUUUGGAGAUGUUGAAAUUUUCAUAGGUAGAUGACCCAUGGGAAAAAUUGGAAAUUAAUGGAUAAGUGUGGCCCACUAAUUGAGAAUUUGUAUUUGAGGGAUUUGAAUUUAAUCUCAUUGAAAUUUGCAUGGGUAGAUGACCCAUGAAAAAAAUUGGAUGGUUUUGUACCAUUUUUCUUAUUGUCAAUGUCCAAGAAAAAUAAUGAGCAAUUUUGAUUAACCCACUAAUUUUCUAAAAUUGACAUUUGCACUUGGAAAGUGUUUUGGCGAAUUUGGUUAGGAUAAACCAGGGAUUCAAAUUUGGUUGUGGUUGCGUCUAUUAGGAUGCUAGACUGCCUACAUACUUUUAACGGGAUCAAACCAACGUAGUUCCAAAUUUAGAAAUUAAUGGGUUAAGUGUGGCCCACUAAUUUAGAAUUUGUGUCUUUCAGACAAUUUUGAGAUUUUAAGAUUUUCAUAGGUAAAUGACCCAUGAGAAAAAUUGAGAAUUAAUGGGUAAGUGUGGCCCACUAAUUGAGAAUUUGUAUUUGAGAGAUUUGAAUUUAAUCUCAUUAAAAUUUGCAAGGGUAGAUGACCAUGAGAAAAUUUGGAAUGGUUUUGUACCAUUUUUUCAUUGUCAAUAUCAAAGAAAACUAAUGGGCAAUUUUGAUGAACCCACUAAUUUAAUUUGAUCAUUGACUCAUGCAUUUGUAUCCAUGCAUGAUUUGAAGGAUUUGAGAUUAAUGGGCUUUUGUGAUGAGCAAACUCAUUAAGCCAUAUUUAUGCUCCCUUGGUAUCUUUUGGGAAUGAGCUUGAUGCUCGAAGCAUGACCCGGCAGCGGAAUUUGGAAGAGCAAGGCCGCAUGAACUCCUUGCGGGUUCAGGCCUACUGCAUACCCUCACUCAUAUCUUGACUUGAGUGUGGAAUUAGACUAGUGAUCUUUGAACGGCCUCACUUUGGACUGAUAUCUUUUUAGCCUUUCGACUGUACCUUAAACACUUCAUAAUUUGAUAUUGGUGCUGACAGUAAGGUUUGAGAGGCUUGAGAUUGCUCUUUGGUUCUUAGAACAGCCACAACGAUUUACCCCCAUCUCUUUUUCUUUAUUGGGGCUUCGUUGUCAUGUUUUUUGAGAAAACUCUUGCUACUUCGAUUCAUGGAAACAUCGAGGCAAAUAGACCGGAAUGCCACAAGCAUUUUGUUGAGCCUCUUUAACCGCUCACUGAUACUUUUCGAUACUUUGUGCGGCAAGUAGUGUCUCAUGGCUUACAAUCUUUCUUCUUGGGUCUUAUAUGAUGACCCUGUAGUCCUUACUUUCUUUGACAUACAAUUAGUAACGUUGGAGUCAACAAGUCCUGGACUUCUUGUGCCUUGUCUUUAAAACUGCUGACGUUGCCUUUACCUUAUCUUUUAUUUGGUGUGCAGCCAAAUACUUUUUUUUUUAAUUUUGUACAGCAAAAUAUGUUUUACAAGGAAUGGAGCAUCUCAAACCAUCAUGCUUUUGAGCAUUUGUCGAUGAACUAUAUAUAUAUAUAUAUAUAUAUGUACAUAUAAAAAUUACAUGUUAUACUUUCAUAAAUAUUAUCAUUAAUAAAUAUAUACUUUAAAUAAAUAUCUAAAUAUGUUUUAUUUUCGUUGCAACUCCUGCAUGUUAUCAAUACUCGGUGGCUAAGUUUAAAGUUGUAGUAAUCAACUUUGAUUGAUAUUAGUGAUACAUGUCCAUUUCUUUUAUAGCCAAGCAAGGAGCACUAUCACCUUGUGAGUUGUCAUCUGUAUGUCUUGAGUUUGCUUAGCUUUGAACACCUCCUGCUAUAAUUUCUUAUAGCUGGCAGUAUUACAGUCAUAUGCACAUGCCAAUUGACGCCACCUACUUGAUGUGCGGACUUUCCCCUUCUAUCUCAUCUUUAGCCGACUCUUAUUGUACUAUAAAUAGGAACCAUUUCCUUAACUUAUUUUUAGGACAUGCAUGGUAGUGCAUGAUAGAACAAGAAAGUGAUAGAGAGAAGAAAGAGGAGGAAAAAUAUUAGAAAGUGUUGGUAGAAUAAGAAAGACUUUGGAGGAACUCAAGAUGUUGGAUUGUAGAGUUAUCUUACGUUGUAAAAAUAUUGGAAUCAAGGUAGGGGUUUCUUGGGGGCCUUUUGCAGAGAUUGAUAUAAUUAAAUUUCGUGAACUCUAUAUUAUGUGUGCUAUUAUAAUGGAUGUUCUUGAUAUUGUAUAAUGUUCUUGACAUCGGAUGUUUACAUAUUGUGAACUAUUUGAAUAAUAAUGUUGGUGUAAUUAUAUAUACAUUGGUGAUGUUUUAAAUGGUUACAUUGUUGUGAGAUAUAUGUGAUAUGUGAAAGGCAUAAUUAUAUCAUGUCAUGGAAAUUGGUUGGAGUUGUUGGGUUAAGAAAAUAAUGGUGGAAAAGAGGGUAAUGAAAAUACUCUUUUGUGUAGUUGAGUCUAACUUGGCAGGUACCAGGUCUCAGGAAUCCCACAGUGCACAUGGUUUUUAUUGGGUGAUUCGGGACUAGUGACAGGGAGUUAAACAAGAUGACUAACAAAAGGGGAAUUAUGGAAUGAUUGAAAGGGUGUUAGUUAAUAUAAAAUGGGCAUUCGGGACCAAAUGGUAUAAGCAUGGUAUGGGACGUGCGGGUCUGCUUGUCCAAUUAUAUGAAUUAACGGGAGUAGAUGAAGAGCAUUCGUUCUUGCAUUAUUAUUAAUAAUGUGAUAUUUGGUUGUAUGAUUGCAUGUCACUUAAUUUAGUUAUAUCAAUCUACUGUGGUAAGGUCUCAUGUCCCUACUGAGCGGUGGUUGCUCACCCCUUACCCUGUUUUAAUUUUUCAGAUGAAUUAGUGGGCAAGAUAAGGACUAAACCAGUUGAGGCAGAAUUAGAUGAGAAUGAUAGAGCUUUAUUUAUUAAUUGUAAAGUUGUAAGAUUUUGAAGCUAUUUUUAUAAAGGAAGUUUAUUUUAAACCUAUGUUUCGACUUCUUUUUAUUUUAUUUUACUUUCUCACAUACUGGGCGCGGAGUACCACCGACCCCGAGUCCAGUCUGGGGCGUGACAGAAUCUUAUUGACUCUUCUCAUUGUUGCUUGAUUUUGAGAGUGUCAUAUUUGGGAAUGGCGCAAAGGCACAACACCAUGGAGCCCACGACUGUAAAUUUUCUUCUACUUGCUUUUUUUUUGUUUAUAGGCUUCCUUUUCCAUUUUUUUCUAGGAUCACCAAACAGUGGGUCGAACACCCCAUCCAUUUCUUGUGAGUUGAAUACCCAAAAACUUUCUUGUUGAGUCUUGAGUGAGCUUUAUUCUCGUGGGUUAAAUACCCAAUAUUUGAUUUAUGGGUCUCCACCAAAAUAAAUUUGUUAUCCAAGAAAUUUGAUUUGAGGCUUGCCACCCAACAUGGACUUAUCAUCCAAUAAAUUUGAUUUAAGGGUUGCACAGUCAUGAUGAAUUUUGUAUCCAAUAUUUUUCGGGAUGCAAAACCCAAGCCUGAUUGAGAGUGAAAUAUCCCAGACUUUAUUUUUAGGGUUCAAUACCCAAAUUUAUUUUCAGGGUUUAAUACUCAAUGACGUACUUUGCACCCAAAUGGUUUCGGGAUUACUCACCCAUGGAUUUGCAUCCAAGAAAUUUGAUUCAAGGGUUGCCACCCCACACGGAUUGCCAUUCAUUUGAUUGAUUAAAGGAUUGCCACCCAACAUGGAGGACCUCAAGAGAGGAGCUUUGUUGCAUAUGCAUCUUUGAUUGCUUCUAUUUCCUCUCCAGCCUUUUGGCUGUUCUUCUCUGCCUUUGUGGCCUUGCGAGCCCUCUUUUUUUUUCUUUUUUUUCUUUUUUCUGAAGCCUCCCCCUUUCUCCCAGCCAUCUAGCCCUUUUUAUAGGCUUCGAUGUGAGGAAUUUGAGUUGAAGUGAAUAGCCACUUCUUAGCUGGGAUGCUUAUGUUUCAGUGUUUGAUACUUGGCAACCACUUAUAUUCUUUGAUAAACUUGUAGGGAGGAAUAUUUCAAUCCCAUUCAAAUACAAGUUUAUGGCUGGCAUUUUAUUUUAAAUGGGUAGCCACCCCCCUUUUUUUUGUGAAAAAUUCACGCUCAACACACCGGUACCCAUCUAGAGAAAUAGCAUUAAAGUGUUGCAUAGAGAAGAAGAUCCUCUACAGCCAAGAUGUCAGACCAAGGUUAGUGUUAAGCUAUAAAAGUCUAGUUCAGAUUAACAUAAACAUCACUUUUAUCCGUAAAUUGGCUUGAUUGGUUUUUGCCCUGUCGUCAAGUGAGUUUGGUCAAUGGCAACUGAUCUUGAAGUCCCAAAGUCAGCAACGUUUACUCUGUAUUUUUCAUCCAUGAGUAUGUUGGUAGACUUGAUGUCUCUGUGGUAAAUAGGAGAGGAAGCUGAUGCAUGUAAAUAGGAAAGGGCUCCUGAAAUCUCCAUGGCAAUGCGUAAGAGAAUUUCCCAUGUAAGUGGAAACUCCUCAUUCUGCUCAAGUAUAUACUGUGAAAGUGUUCCAUUUUGUAUAAAUUCCUAAACCAAAACGGGAGCUUCGGUCUCUAAACAGCAACCCAGUAGUUGAACCACAUUCCUGUGGUAGAUUUGUGAAAGAAUCACCACCUCAUUGAUGAAAUCUGAAAGUUGACUUUCAUCCACAUUUCUAGACUUUUUUACAGCAACAAUAUAUUGUUCCAUCAGUCGGUACGACGGAGAAGUGGAAUUAUCAUCAUCAUCAUCAUCAUCAUAUAUAGAGCAAUAGGGUGUUAUUGAGUCGUUAUGAAGCCGUGUGUUUCUGCUUGUGAAGUUUUCAAACAAUUUGAUUAACGAACUAUCUAGCUUCUCUAAGGUUAAGGUCCAGUGUAGUGCAGCACCACCAGAACGCUGUCCAAAUCCUUGACGUGACCUCCAAAGUUUGACAAAUUAUUCUGAGUCCAAUUUUUUUCAGCCAGAAAUGCUUACUUGCAACCAUCCUUUUGAUAUCAGCUGCAUCUCCUGCUAAUGUUUGUAUCUCAAUACUGAAACUACUCAUAUUUGAAGGAAUACUAGCCUGGCAACAGUCAAUACCAACAUUGCAGCAGUUAUAGUCGAAAGUAGUCCUAGUAUUACUAGUACUCGUUAGGCUUUGCUAUAGGCGGUGUAGUUGCUGCAUCUGUACAUGUACUCGUUAUAUUUUUGCUCACAUAAUAAUUAGUAUGGAUAAAAAUAAAAUAAAAGGAGAAGGUUCAAAGUUAUUUGAUCUUAUUUUUGUUGGUUGUGUUGUGUUGAAAGAAAGUUUCAUCGCAUGCACCUUUCACCAUUGUCUUUUUUCCUGUUAAUCGCCAAAGUUGAAAUCAUCAGCACCGUAAAAGCAUUCAAAAGAAGAAAUUCAUCACCAUUAUUUGAAAGCAUCUGAGGUAAAUUUUCUUUUGGUUUUAGAACAAUAUCUUAUUAUUUAUUGUGACUUUAAAAAUUCAUAGCUCCUUGCAUAAUCUUUAGGUUGCGUCACGAAGAUCAAUGAGUUGAGUUCUGUAAGGCUCAUCCCCAUCAGUCUCAGUCUAUUUGGAGAAAGGACUUGGAACACUAGGAAACAAAAUUUGAGUUUUAAAUUCUGUAAGGCUCAUCCCCAUCAGUCUCAGUUCUCUAUAACAGGAGCUAGGGAAAAAAAAUGCGUGUUAUAUUAAAAAAAUAUUUGUUCAGUGUCUUGGACAGCAAUUCUAGUAGGAACUGGACAAAUCUUCCUCUUCUCUCUCUAGUUCAUUGUCUUGGACAGCAAUUCUGUAGCUGGAAGCUUGGAAUAUUUGGAAUUAGCAAAGUAAAUGAUCAUUCUCAAGUCUUAACCUUCUAUAUUAGCUAGGAUAAAACUUUAAAUAAAUUAAAAACACAAGUGAUAAUUAAGGAAGGCGUAGACAAUGGUGGAUCCAAUAAUUUUUCUAGAGAUGGUUGACAUGUAAAAGUUCUCAAACAUUUUUAAACAAAAAAAACCAGUAAAAAUGGGACGAUACUAUUAUCAUAUUCAUAAAUCAUGAUUCAUAGAACAAACAAUAAUACGACCACGACGGGUUUUCAUAUGCUAUAUAUAUUAAAAAUUAAAGUAAUUAGAGAACAUUAAAGUUACCAUUUGCUUUCAUGUUUCAGCCAAUAGUACAGAGAUUAGAACUUCUUUUCUUUUAUCAUUUUUCUUGAAAGCUUGUCCCAAGGUAUAUAUAUAUAGAUUAAUAUAAUUGUUACUGAUGAAAUAAAAGUACAGAAAUGAUUGAUCAUUCCGAGUCUGGAGCACGAGAUUACUCUCUGUCGAAAAGCGACCAAUCACCCAUUUAUAGCGAUCAAUUGCCUGACCCACCUGAUCCAUGCGAAGAUAUUUCUGAUCCAAGUCUCACACCUACAGACAAUACAGAACAACAAGAUGAAGACCCCCCUCUAACUCAACAGUACCAACAGACCAAUCUCCUGAGAAUAUCCUUGAGGUAACUACUCCUACUAGACUUGUGCAUUUAGAUAAUAAAACUAUUGGAUAUCAAUUACCUUUCAGGCGAAAUCGUGGGAAGCCACCAAACCGUUAUUCACCUGAUAUUGGCAAGACAUCCAAGUAUCCAAUUGCAAAUCAUGUAUCCACUGAGAAGCUGUCUGAACCACUCAAGGCUUUUGUGCAUCAGUUGUCUGCUAUCCAUAUUCCAACCAAGGUCUCUGAAGCAUUGAAAGAUCCUAAGUGGGUCCAAGCUAUAAAAGAGGAGAUGAAAGCCCUUGAGAAAAAUCAGACUUGGACAUUGGAGACUAUACCCCGAGGAAAAAAGACUAUCGGAUGUAGAUGGGUGUUUACUAUAAAACACAAUGCAGAUGGAUCUAUCGAGCGAUACAAGGCAAGACUUGUGGCAAAAGGGGACACACAGACUUAUGGUAUAGACUAUGAAGAAACCUUUGCUCCAGUUGCAAAGUUAAACACCGUCAGAGUCUUAUUGUCCCUUGCAGCUAAUUUGGAUUGGCCACUACACCAGUUUGAUGUAAAGAAUGCUUUUCUACAUGGCGAACUCACGGAGGAGGUGUACAUGGACAUUCCUCCUGGAUAUAAUACUACUCAGACUGGAACAGUUUGCAGGUUACGAAAAGCAUUGUAUGGAUUGAAACAGUCACCACGUGCAUGGUUUGGACGGUUCACCAUGGCAAUGAAGAACAAUGGUUUCAAACAGUGCAACUAAGAUCAUACUCUGUUCUUGAAACAUCGAAAAGGGAAGGUAACAGCAUUAAUAAUCUAUGUUGAUGAUAUGAUUAUUACUGGGAAUGAUAAACAGGAAAUAUCACAGCUACAAGGCUAUCUGGCUACGGAGUUUGAGAUGAAGGAUCUAGGUGGACUCAAGUAUUUCUUGGGAAUUGAGGUGGCUCGAUCGCAGCAAGGCAUAUUUCUUUCUCAAAGGAAAUAUGUCUUAGACUUGUUGACGGACACAGGAAUGCUAAAUUGUAAACCCGCGGACACUCCUAUUGUUCAAAAUCAUCAUCUUGGAGAAUAUCCAGAUCAAGUUCCAACUAACAAAGAAAGAUACCAAAGGUUAGUGGGAAGAUUGAUCUAUUUGUCACAUACUCGACCAGACAUUGCUUAUGCGGUGAGCGUUGUCAGUCAAUUUAUGCACUCUCCAAGUGAAGACCAUAUGAAUGCAGUUCUUCGGAUCCUUAGAUAUUUGAAGUCUGCACCUGGAAAAAGACUUAUGUUCUCAAAGCAUGGUCACCUAAAUAUUGAUGGUUAUUCAGAUGCAGAUUGGGCAGGUAAUGUAACAGAUAGAAAAUCCACAUCGGGUUACUUCACAUUCGUGUGAGGUAAUUUGGUGACAUGGAGAAGCAAGAAACAGAAUGUAGUAGCUUUAUCCAGUGCAGAAGCCGAGUUCAGAGUCAUGACUAAAGGGAUUUGUGAACUUCUUUGGUUAAGAAAGUUGCUUACUGAACUUGGGUAUAAACCUACAUCCACAAUGAAUCUCUUUUGUGACAAUAAGGCUGCUAUAGCCAUUGCACAGAAUCCGGUUCAGCAUGAUCGUACUAAACAUGUUGAGGUGGAUCGACACUUCAUCAAACAAAAGCUUGAGGCUAAAGUGUUUCAGUUUCCUUUUGUGAAAUCCGAGGAUCAAUUGGCGGAUAUUUUGACAAAGGCGAUUUCCAGUAAAGCAUUCCACAAUUCACUAGAUUAGUUGGGCAUUGGCGACAUCUAUGCACCAACGUGAGGGGAAGUGUUGGCGUGACUUGUGGAUAUUGACUUACUUUCCUUACACACCAAGAAUUCCUAUUAUAAUUGUAAUUGAUUUACUUUAAUUCUUGAUUUCCUACUGCAAAUAGAUUUAGGAAUUUAUUAUUUACUUGCCCAUUCAGGUUUCGUUGUAUUAUAAAUAUGACCUCCUACAAGGAGAAGAAUACACAGAAAAUCCCCACAAACAAAUAUUCUCUCAUAGUUUUCAUAUUUUAGCAGUAAGGUAAUAGUGAAAUUUCAUGUAAUGAUGAAGAAGGACCACCAUCCAAACCUGGCCCUGUUCCCAUUGAACUUGAAGCAACAUCCCAAGGCUCAAUUGGGUCAGUCCUAACAUAUUCAACCUCUUCGUAGUUUUGUCCACCAUUAGAAGUUUUUUCUGACAUUUGAAUCCCCUCCAGCUCUGCCGUGACCUCUCUCAUUGUAGGGCGCUUUCUUCCACUCAAAUUCAAACAUCUGCUUGCAAGGUUAGCAACUAAUAUGAUAUCUGCUUUAGACCCUCCUUUUACAACUUCAGCAUCAAGAAUUUCGAACAGGCGAUCUAACUGCAUCGAAGUAAUGAAGUAUGUGGCAAGACUUUUGCCUUCUUCUUGUGACCUUCUAAAAGAAAUUGGUUUUUGCCCUCUCAAGAGCUCAACAAGGACAACUCCAAAGCUAUACACGUCAC
rnacentral:lncRNA from 1 species